UUUUUUUUUUUUUUGUGGUGACCGGAAUUCGAACCCUAAACCAUACAUAUAUUAUGCAUUGUCCUUACCAACUGAGCUGAGUCACGUUCCACGCAAAUAUGUCAAUUUUGAUAGUUAGAGUAAACAUGGACCAUAUGUAUAUCCUUAAAAAAAAAAUAUGGACCAUAAACAAUGGACCCUUGUGUUUUAUGCGAGCCUUCAAGUUUUUCCUCUUAUAAAAACCGAAACCUUUCACUAUUUAAUUUUUUUUUUCUCGUAUUUUUUUCAAAGUUUUCCAAGUAUAAAAUAGAGGACGGGAAAGUAAGUGGCCUCUUUACGAGUAGUGAUAUAUGUACAACUCUUUCGUACAACUUUUAUGACAACUUUGGUUUUCUCUCUUUUGAUUGGUCAAAAAUAAUAGAGAGAGAAAAAGGAAGAGAGAGAAUAGAAGAUAAUGCGAGUAUGAGAAAGAAAGUUGUCAAAAGGUUGUUAGAAAAUGGUUGUACAAAUAUCAUUUCUCUUUACAUACUAGAAAAUUUUAUUAUAGUUUUACUGUUUAAUUAGUGGUUCGACUGACUAACAUUGAGUGUCGUCAAUUGAUGGUCCAUGCAAAUUCAAUUCACGUGGAGAAAUUCUAAUAUGGUCGCAUGACCAAAGAAAAAGUGUUUGGUCACAUACACACAUAAAGAAGUAUUUUUUAAAUAAUAAGGAGGAAAUUGAUAAAAAAAGAUGAUUGAAUAUUUUGAGGAGAAUCUUUUUAUGUGUGUGUGUCCAAACAUUAUUAAUUUAAUCUUUUGACCAUGGAAGAAUACCUCAUGUCCAUUCUCCUAUUUCUUAUUGGUUAGCAUGGUAUCACAUGCUAUGGUUCUCAGCCUUGUACGUUUCUUGCUGGUCUAGUAGAUCUUACAAUUUUUAUGGUGAUUCCUUCGUUGAAGAACUAUUGGUGAAUGAGAUUUUGGUGGUGGCUAUCCUAUCAAACGUUAAUGUUCCAUCCAUCUCCUCGUUUCCUUGGCUAUCCAUAAUUAGGCUGCCAAACCUGCUUAUCACCAUCUUGCCCUUAACAGUUGUUCUAAGUCCAUGACCAUCUCUAUGACUGGGAAGGGGUCAAUAUUAAUAUUGGACCUUUCUGAAACUUCUUUAUCGCCUAACUUGAACCUGUCUUCCUUGAUCAACUUUUAAACAGCUCUUUAAAAGAUGAUGCAAUUAGUCGUGGUGUGAUUAUAGGAAUUGUGCCAGUUGACUUAUCUCUUGCCUUUGAUUGCCUUGGUUGGAGGGAUUUUAUGACCAUCAAGUAGUUGAUAUCUGGUCAACUUUCGUUAUGUUAAAGGCAUACUCGGUCCUAUUAUCUAAUGAAGUCUUAUCCUUUUGGUUGACCUUAAGACAAGACACGUGUAGCUUCCCCCUUUCAGGAUCUUAAUCAGAUGUUAGAAUAUCUUUUGUAGGAUCUAAUCGAUUGAUAUAUAAUCAUCGAAUUCUUUCUUGUCAACAAUUAAUACUAAGUGUAGGCCUUUCCUUCGGCCAACACAUCUCUUUUAUCUUUCUUGAAUGAACUGCUCUAUGUGUGCUCCUUGGGAAGCCAAUUCUUUCAUAUCAUCGAAAGCUUGCCGAACCAACUUCUCUUUUCAUCGUGGGUGCACGCCAGUGAUGACAAUUGAUGCAUAGCGUCAAUAAAUUGAAUUGAACAUUUUGCAUAUGUUUCUAUUUUUUAUUUUUUUAUGAAUCUAUCGAUAAAGUCAGCAUGCGAUUCAUCUACUUGUUGUUUGAGAUUCAUCAGAUCAGUUGUUCUAAUUUCUGGCUUAGGCCAAUCGGUCAUGGAAACAACUUCCGAUUAAUAUUAAUAAAGUUCAAUCAAUUUUCUCUGUCUAAUGAUAUCAUUUCUAAUUGUUGGAUUAAGAUAUAUUUUAUUUUUCAGUAAUCUAAUUUAUUCAUUUGAAACAAGUUUAAAUAAAUGUCUCGGUGUGGUGGGGGGGAGACUAGCGGUGUCUAUACUAUAUAUACAAAAAAUAGACCGUUUUGGGUUGAUUUUUUCUCCUUCUAAAUAUACCCUUAGGAAAAUUUUGCUAUUUUGUUGGUGUUAUUAAAAAAGGUAAGAAUUUAUAUUAUAUUGUUGGUAUCAUUGAAAAAAAUAAGAAUAAAUUGUUACAUAUGAAAAUAUAAAAUAUUUAUUAUUUAUAUCUAUAUUUUCAGCACCGCUAUUUCCAACGAAUUAUUUUCUGCGGGAAUCACGAAUUGUGCCGUGCAAGUGAUUAUUCUUAUGUAGGUUUACUUCCUUUUUAAUUAAAAUUAAAAAGCAUAUCUUUUGUUUUAAAAAAAAAAUAUAUGUCUUCUUUUCUUUCUUUUUCUGAAACAGUCUAACCAAAAUAUAUGAUAUAUGAAAAUUCAAUAUGAAAUCUGUCUUCUCCAUAUUUGAUUCUGCUAUAGCCAGGUCAGAUGUGAAAAUUCUUUCAAGCAGCUUCAAAUGGUAGAAAAGGAUAACAAUUUAUUCUAAGAGUUGUCUCUAGUAUACAAAUAACAUGCCAAUGUCACAACUAGUAUAUCGGAUCCCAUCAAUACCAGAAGCCAACAAUAAUGUUGGAAACCAAAAACUUACUCCGUGGAAAAUCUAGAAGCUAAUCCAUCUAAAUUGGACUCAAACAACAAACUCAAACCAAGGAACUAUUAGGUUUCUAUAUGAGGAACAAGACAAUAAACUAAUAAAGAGAAAGAACACUCAGAGAUGCAACAUUAAACAUAUACAGUGGUACGACUUGAAGGACAGAACCAGAGGAAUACGGAAAUAGCGGUAUGACUCGACUUGUCGUGGAAAACGAAACCAGGGUGAAUAUUUGAUCAACAACAAAGGUCUUUAAUUUUGAGAAUUGGAAGGAAAUCAAUAUAAAAUCUAAAACUACCUCUAUUUUGUGAUGGAUCUUGCAAGAACAUAACCAUGUUUAUGGUGGUAAGAGCUAUAGAAAAGCAUGGGAAAAAGACAGCUAGAGAACAAAAGAAGAAGAGGGUGUUUACGUUUGGUAACCGUGUGUCAUAAACGAGAGAGAUGGUGGUAUUGUUGACUUAUGCAGUUUUCUCCACAUAGGAUACACACGUCAUUUGUGGAAUUCUUAGAAACUACUUUCGUAGGAAUAAACAUUUCUCCUAUAUUUUUAACACUUAAAAAAUACUAUAAUUUUAAUCAAAAUUUUAUAAAAGUUAUUGUUCAUAAUUUAUACACAUUAAUGCAUUAAGAAGAUCAAACAUAAAGAUUUCAACUAGUUUAUGUGGUUAAAAUGUGUGUGUAUAUAUUAGCAUUUUUUGUUUCUCCUUGUUCAAACUUCGAUGGACCCAACUUGAUAAGCAAAUGUUGCUAUUUAGUAAUUAAAAUUUAAAAGCAGGCAGGCAGCCACCUGCUCAUAUUAGAGUGGUGCAAAAUGGUGAGUUUGAUAAUUUUGCUUAGAUUUGCGGGGAUUUGGACAAAUUAAAUACUCGAUAUGUACAAAAUACUACCCUACAUCAUUCCAACUCUUAAAUGUUGUUGACAUUUGAUUUGAUAAAAAAGACUCACUUAUAUGCUUUUGAUUGCACUACUGAGAACCAAAAUACGAGUUCUCACUACUACGAUCAUUUUAAACUUUUAUUUUUGGAGAGGUAGGAUGAUAUUGUAUUUAAUUUGCACCGAAAAUUGUUGUAAAUAUUUUUUGUAAAGAAGUGUGCACAUUACAAACAAACUAACCGAGAAGCCAGUCCUCAUUGUUAGAAUCAUCCAUCACUAAUUGGUAAGCAUCUUUAAAAUAAUGAAAAUGGUAAAGAGUGUUAUUGGAACACUUCUUAGUUUUUAAGAGAACAAAAAUAGAAAUAUCACGUUGAAAAGUAGUAAAAAAUGGUGAAUUUAAUUUUUUAAAAGUUAAAAAUUUGUUAUUUUCAAUACAAAGCUACUGUUUUUUGUUUCCUUAACAAAUACACCGAGGACACUUGUUAAAAAGACUUUAAAAUAAUACUCAUCGGUUGGAUAUUUCUCCAAAUCUAUAUAUUAUACACUUUUACCACGCAGAAAUAUUAGUUAACGACAAAAUACAUUUCAACAAUAACUCUUCCUUCAAAUGAAAAUAUUUCUCCACCAACACACCAUCCAUCCUUCAACAUAUAUGUCAUUGACAUGUUUUUAUUAGAUGUUAAACUAAAUAAUGAGUAAUGAUAUUUGUACAAUCAUUUGAUGACAAUUUUUAUGACAACUUUUAUUUUCUUUUUUUUUUUAUUAGUAAAAAACAAGGAGCACAAACAUCUUAUAAAAAAAAUUGUACAAAAGGAGGACAAUGGAUGAAACUAUUUAAAAGGGAUUUAAUUUGAGAAAUGAUGUAUGAGAGUCUAGAAAAAGACAGAAAAAAUGAAUCAAUAGGAGAAAGGUAAUUUCCCGAAGAGAGAAAAAUUAAAUAAGUAAAAUAUAUAUUUAAAAUUAAAAAAUAUAUUUUUGGGUCAAGUAAUUAAAGAAUAAUUUUAAUAUAUAAUAUAAAAACAUUAAUUAUGUUCUAGUAAUUUCUUGGACAUUAUUUAGACAAUUUUUAGAAUAAAAUUUAAAUUGGUUUCGCCACAUCUCAGCCUCAUUAAUCCUGUAGUCUUUCAUCGACAAAUAUUUGUGGUAGUCUUGAUGGCUGAGUUCGGUUAUUGCAUUGCAUCACAAAUGGGGUAUCAAUUUGACUUUCUAAUUUAUAAUAUGGUCACGCUUGUAAUCAUCAAUCAAGGGUUCUUUCGUGCGAAACAAUAUAAUGGCCCCAUAAAUAGGGCUAACAUAAACAAUUAUACACGUUCAUCUGGUUUUCUAGUGUUAUAGAAACAAAGUUUUCACCGCUUUCUGGUGACUAAUUUCUAUUGAGAAUCCGUGGAAUAUCACUCCAAUUAAAUUUUUUCUGUAUGCAAGUGUCAUAGGUGGAAUCCUUAAUCACCUAGUUAAGGAGCUCAAAUAUCUCACCGCUUGAAACAAUUCAUUAUUGAUAGGGCGACAAACUCUAUUUCAGAGAAAAACUUCAUUCUAACAAUUGUUAAGAGUGCUAAUAUUCAUAAAUGCUUAGAUGAGAUGAUUUUAGUCUUCUUCCCAGUUUAAGUAUUAACUAGCUUUACUGAGUUAAAAUCUCAAGUUUGAUUAAACUUGAGUCUUUUCGUUACCUUGAUGUGUCAUUUGAAGUUAAUUCCCCUAAACUUUUUGUUAUAAAAAAGAAAAUAUUUAGUAAAUUCCAAAAUUGAAAAAUAAAAAAAGUAUUUAGUUAUUAUUCCGCUCACAACUUAUAAAAUAUAAGGUUGCAUUUGUUUCAAGUUUACUAAAUUUAAUUUGGAGAAUAACUUUUCUUGAAAUAUAAAGAGGAGAGUUUUAUUCUCGGACAUUUUUAAAAAAGAUAUUUAAUUAAUCCAAAAACCAUUACAAUAAAGAAGUAAAUUAGUAGUUAAACAUGAGUUUAUUUCCAAAAAGAUUGAAAUGCAUAUUUCUAUCAUUUUAUUUUCAAGAAUAUUGAAAGAUAACUUAAAACAAAACAUCCUAAACAUAAAUUUGAAGGGAUGAUGACGAGAAUGAUUAGUAUGAAAUGAGAUUUCAUAAAAACCGGAUCGUGAAACGUAUUUAACGCCUCCAAAAAGUAUUUUCAAUACUUCGUUGUCCACAAACAUGCACCAAAGGCUCAAAGCUUAAGUUUUAUGAUAUGCGUGCUUGACAAGGUAUCUGAAAAGCGUUUCAUCAAAGGGGCAUCUAACUUUUAAUUCAAAGAAGUCCUUGAAAAAAAAAAUGUUUGGUUUACGUUUAAUUUCAGAGCUAGCUUCAAAAGCAGAACACUAGGAUGUUUCUACUUGUAUGUUUGGUAAGCCAAUCAGAACACAUUUCCCAAUAGAUUUGUUCCACGGGAAGAUACAUUCUGAUAAAUUGGGGGACUUUUGAGCAAAAAUGAGGACCUGUAAAGCAAUUUCCCCGUGAUUUUGGCAAACUCAUUACGAUAUCUCUCAACAGUCAUCAAUUUUUGAAUUUACAAGUGCCGUUGGUAUACUUUAACUUUUUAGCUUCUGAUUUUUAGAAAAGCUCCCACGUGAGCUUAUGUGAAAACUUACUCCAACAGAUUCCCUGUUCUCAAUUUAUGUAAAACUCCUCAGAGGAACAUAUAAGUAUAAUCCUACAUAAAUUAGCUUACUGAGAAGCAACUUCUCGCAUUAUAAAAUGCAACACAAGAUGCUUACAAAUCUUAUUUCAGUGUUUUUUUUAAUGUACAAACGAGCUAUCUACGAAUUCUAAUGCCAGGAAUGUCUUUCAAACCCAUUUUUAGUGCAGUUUUUCGGAAGAGAGAAGGCGGCCUCUGUAAACCAAUUGAUUCGGAAAAUUGGCUUGCUAGCUCAGCUACUGUGCUCUUCUCCCUCCCAAUUUCCCUGAUGGAGUUAUAAUAACCAAGCCAAGCAUGAUAGGCUGCUUCUUUGAUGUCAUUAUCAAUCUUUGCCAUUGACUGCUCAAUCUGCCAGAAAAUAGAACAUAUAUAAGUAUAUAACAGUAGGCAUCUUCCACAUAGCGGCUAUAACAAAGCCACACAAAACUAAUGUGGUCAAUAACUUAUCGUCAAUCAUAUAAGCCGGGACACUGAAAUAUGAGGAUUAAAAUAUCUAUGUACACAGGGAAAUGAGAAUGCAUAUAAUGUAGACAUUAGAACAAGGGCACAAAAUAUACCUUAAGCUGUGCCUGAGGAUCUAAAUCUGGUAAGGGAAAUUUUUCUAGAGGGAGAUCCUUGAUCUCAUUUAAAAAGUACUCUUCCCAAGGUGCAAUCAACAAUAUGCCUUUCCCUUCUUUGCCUUCCCGUCCCGUUCUUCCAAGACGAUGUAUAUAUUGUUCACGGUCUGAAGGAAUUCCCACCUGGAUUCCAUAUAUUAUUGUUAAGGACAUGGUGGAAAUAAGUUCAAAAUAUAAUUAUUGGCUACCAGUGUAAGUUUCUCAAAAAUCCAAGAUAGAUUUUGCAAGAAAUAGUUAUGUCUCGUAAGCAACUCAGUUUGAGAAGUAGUUCACCUCUAUCACCCAAAAAAAGAAAUUAAAAAUUUACAAGGAACACAUCAUAUGUACAGAAAAUUAUGAGUGGAUAUACAUUGAAAGAUUGAAAUAUAUACCUGUAUCACUAAAGUAACAUCAGGAUAAUUCAUUCCACGUGAUGUAACAUCAGAGGAGACAAGAAUCAUUUGUUUGGAUUCCUUAAACUCAUCUGAUACACGAGUUCGAUACAGCUGAGGUUUUCGAGAAUGUAUCUCCCUAACAUUCAGUUUCAUAUCCCGAAGAAGGUGAUAUGUGAGUGAUGUCACCAUCCCAGUUAUACAGAAAACAAUAACCUGAAUGAAAUCAAGCAGUUAAAACCAUACAUCGAAUAAAAAAGUAAUUCAAACUCUGAAACAGGAAAUGCAUUAACCUUAUAAUCAGGUGUUUGCGAGAUAUGCUCUUUCAAGAUAUGAUGUACUAUCUGAAAGUGUGAUUCAUGUGGAGCGAUAAGAUAGGAUUGCUUUACCUGGAUGCCAAACAAAAAUAAGCAUUAAUGGCCAUCAUGGGAAAAUUUUAAUGCAAUCAUUAAGAAACAAGAAUUAUAAGAAUAAAUAACAAAUUAUUAGCAAAAAAAAAAAAGAACAAAGCAAAUCAUAAGGAUCCAAAAGUCAAUUAAAUAUGUAUUUUAUUUUGAAACUAUGGUCUAACAAUAGUUGCUGUAACUUACCUGAACAGGAGUUUCCACACAACCCAUUCCAACUGUAUCAACAUAUUUGUGUUCCCUUUUCAAAACAAGCUGAGAUACUCGACGGACCUGCAUAUUUUGAAGGGUCAGUUAUAUUGUUGUUGGAAUACUGCAGCGACACAAACAUGCCUGCAAGAACCUUCAGUCAAAAACUGAUAAUCAAAAUUAGAUUAAAAAAACCUAACCUAACCUCCUUUGGGAUAGUUGCAGAAAACAGUAAGGAUUGUCUUUGACGGGGUAAACAGUCAACAAUUUUUUCUAUAUCCUUUCGAAACCCAAGGUCCAGCAAAUGAUCAGCUUCGUCAAGUAUAAGCAUCUGCAAGCCCAUCACUCGUACAGAUAUUCCGGUCUUAUUCUCAAUAUGAUCCAGUAACCUACCAGGUGUAGCAACAAGCAUCUGAAAAAUUCAAUACAGGAAAUACGAAAAUCAUUAUGUGUCGCUAGCAUGAUGUUUUUUCCAUAAAAUAUAAGCAACAUCUUCUUUUCCCCCUCCCAACCCAACUAAACAAGCAUUAGUCUUAAACCUGCCCUGAAAUCACAGGCUAUGAAACAUAAGAAGUUCAGUUAUAGCACAAAACCUGGCAUGGAUCCGAUUCAAGGCGUUUCUGGUCAACUUUAAAUCGUACACCUCCAACUAGAGUCUGCACCCCUACACCAUCGUGAUAUUUAAGCAAAACCUUUGCUUCAGCAGCAAUUUGACUAGCAAGUUCUCUGGUAGGGCAUAGAAUAAGAACAUAUAUUGGCGGUGCACGAUGAGAGGUCUUGCUACUCAUAGCUUUCAAAACUGUUUCAAUAGCAGGAAGCUGUUUGCACUUAGCAUCAUUCAUAGAAAGAAUAAAAACAGGAUAUAUUGCAUUAAAAUAACAAGGGUGUACCAAAAAAGCUGCAGUUUUUCCAGUGCCAGUUUUAGCCUUGACCAUAACAUCAUUACCUGCAAUGUAACCGAAGUAGAAGGGUCAUCAAAACAGAGUCUAAUAGCCAUAUUAAAAGAAUGAGAAAUGUAAUAACAAACAAAGUAACAAAAUAAAAGAUUCAAAGUGGACACAAAACAAUAGGAUUGAGAAAAGAAUUGCAAUGCGACAACUUUUACAGUAUGCGUCUUUUGUAAGAUUAUCAAGUGUUAAUAAUGAUGAUGAGAUGAUAAACGAUAUAUAGAAAUUGGAUUGCAAGAUAUAGGAAACAUACCCUCAAGACAAAUAGGGAGGCUAGUCUCUUGAACCCGGGUCAUAUGAGUGUAACCAGAUGUAGAAAGUGCUUUGAUUGUCAAUGGUGAUAUAGCACACUCGUCAAAUCUAUGAAAACAAAACAUCCAAAUCACUGAUUGCAAGCAUGAUGCUCCACAAAUACAAGCAAACAAAACAUGCACAUUCAUCUCAAUCUCUAUAUGCUUUUGCCAUAAGAAAGCGUUAACAAAUCAUCAUUACUUAUUGUCUGUUUGGAUUGACUUAUUUGAGUCUAUCUACUGGCAUAAACAAAAACACAUGUGAGAUUGUUAGUUAUAGCUUAUGAAAACAACUUAUAGCAUGUUCAUAAGAUAUUUUCAGUUUAUUUCCAUAAGUAUUCCAAGAUAACUUUAUUAAAACAGGUUAUGACUUGUAAAAAAACAGUUUGACUUUAUUUUAUCUUUUGUUAUAGAAAUAACUUAUGCAUGAACACUUAUAUGAUAAGCUAAGCUGCUAAUCCAAACUAUGGGCCUUAUCUAAGUUACUCAAAUACAAAUUCCGCACACAAAGAAAAAUAUAACCAUUUCCAUUCCAUCAAAGGAAUAACAAUACCUUGUCUGACUAAGAACAUUUUCAAGUCCCUGACCCUGAUUCUCCUCCUCGUGGCGACUCAACUUCUUCUUCUUAAGCUCAUUCUUAAUCAACUCAACUUGCUCCGAAAAAUCAGUUUGAUCAUCAAAAUCCUUAGGCUUCAUUCUCCUCACCCUCUUCACAUCAUAUUUCCCCAAAGCAGCAAUACUACCCACCUUAGAAUAGUACCCCUCAUUCUUUGAUUCCACUUCACUCUCACUAUCACUAUCACUCGAAGAAUCAUUCUUUCUCCAAAUUUUUCGCCGUUCAGGCUUUUCCGUCCCAACCCUAUUCUGAUCACUCAAAUCCCUAACCCUAGGAACGGAACGAAUAGAAUCCUUAACCUCAGGAACAGAACGGUAGCCCCUAAUUUGUGAAUAGUUAUUCAAAUUCCGACUGCGUAAAUCAAUUUGCGGCGAUGCUUGGGAUUGAAUCUGGGCCUGGGCUUGGGUUUGGGUCUGGUAGGUUUCAGGGCCGUCGAGGUCGUUCCAGAGAUCUAGAGCACCGUCUUUCAUGAAACGAUCGGCGAGGGCUUUGAUGUGUUGAUCAGGGGAAAUAGGAUUAUGAGUGGUGGAGGAAGAUGAAUAUGAAGAAGGUGAGAGAGUGGAGCGAAUGUGAGAUCGAAUACGAGCUUGGUAGAGUUGUUUCUCUUGUUCGAGAAGGUUACGCUGUUUCUCUUUGGCGCGUUUUUCGUGCAUACGUUUCCAUUUCCAUUUGCUUACGCCGCCGGGGAAGGUGCGAGGACCGCCACCCAUGUUACGGAGGAGACGGAGGUUCCAGGCUGUUAGUGACCAUGAUGCUGCUGAUGAUGCCGUCCGGCCUUCCCUUAUCAUCCAUCCCCACAUUUCUGCUUCUGUUCUGAUGGAGGAAGAAGGGUUUUUGUGUGUUUAACAGAAACAAGGGUUUAAGCCUUUGCUCUUAGACAAAGUUGAUUUUUUUUGUUCCUCCCAACAAAAAACAAAAUUGUGUCAUAAAACAAUUCAAAUAUUCUUUUUUGGUGUCAUAAAAUAAUUCAAUUUUAAUUCAAGAAUGGAGAUCAAAUUUUCUCUUUUGCGUGUUUAAGCUCGGACAAUUUGUUUUGGAAAACCUAAAUUCGAUUUUGGGUAGAAAUAAUAUUUAACCAAAUUUUAUAUACUUUUCGAUCGAACUCUGAAUUUUUACAAUCACAUUGAUUAAGAAUCGGAUGAUUAGAACAAAAAAAAUUGUUCUUUCACAAUUUUAGCACGAACCAAAUUAUAUCGAGAUAAACUUGUCUCUGAUUCAGCAGCAUGAUAGAGACACUAAUUUUUCUACGUUAUGAAAAUCUAGAGACUACUUUGAAUUUAACUUUUGUCAAUGACUAAAUUGGUCCAAACAAAAAUUAUAAAAGAUCAAAAUACGUCUUCACUCUUAAUUUAAUUGGUAUAUCAUGAUGCGGUUCCAACUUUAUCGUUGCUCCACCAUAGAAAUAUCACCCCAUCUGCAACUUGUGGGAGAUGCGGGGAAGUGGAUGAAUCUUUCAUGCAUUGUAUUCGGGACUACAAGUUUUCUAAGCCAAUCUGGCAGAAAAUUGGCUUCUCGGACCCAAACUUCUACUCUACCAGUUGUUCACAAGAGUGGAUAAAAGCAAACUCCAAAGGCCCUCGUUCUACCAUCUUCUUUGCUUGUCUCUGGUGGAGCUGGCGGCACCGCAAUCAAAUGUGUUUCAAUUCUGAAUUCUGGUCCCUCACAUGGUUGAGCAUCAACAUUCAACAAUCAGUCGAAACAAUUCACAAGAGUUUCCAGUCUGUGACCAGUUCUAAGAUUUCGAAUCGCUGGAUUAGAUGGAACAACAGCAAUCACCGCUGCCACAUCCUCAAUGUAGAUGGCAGCUGCCUUGGAACUCCAAUCCGAGCCGGUUAUGGAGGUCUGAUCCGCAACAGUGAUGGGUUCUUUCUGACAGGAUUUUCCGGUUUCCUUCAUGACUUGACGUGCAUUCUUCUAGUUGAACUCACAGCCAUUCACAAGGGGCUUCAUGUAGCAGUAGACAUGGGUUUAGAUGAGCUAAUCCGUUUCUCGGACUCUCAGCUCUCAAUUAAUCUCAUCACAUGAAACGUCUCAAAAUUUCAUGCCUACGCGGUGUUAGUUUAAGAUAUCAAGGACAUUCUAGUUGUCCAUAAUUUCACUAUCCUUCACACUCUUAGAGAAGGAAAUCAAUGCGCCGAUUUCUUCGCCAAGCUAGGAACUUCGUCUAAUGUUGGUUUCUUGGAACAUUUAUCCCCUCCUCAUGAUCUCAUAGACUUGCUUAGGAAUGAUGCUAUGGGAACUUGUUUCCCAAGAGCUUGAUCCCUUAUGUUUUCUUUUUCUGUUUCUUUCUGUUUUGUUUUUGUUUUGAUUUAGUUUUGUAAACAAAAAAAAAAAAAAUUGGUAUAUAAUCCUUAAUAUUAAUAUUAGUUUAAUCUUUCAAAAAAAAUUAAUAUUAGUUUAAAAAAGUAAAAAAUUUCACACAAAAAAAAGUUUUCAACUUAAUUUGUAUGUAUUAAUCAUAUAAAAUUUAUUUCUACAUCCCUUAAAAAAAUAUUUUUACAAAUACAUUUAAUCACAAAUCACACUAUAAUACGUUCUUUAGAUUAAUACUUAUAUCUAUUUAUGCAUCAAUUAUAUGAACCUGGUUUAUAACAACUUUAUUGUCCCAUUUUAACACGCCAAAAAAUGACCACAUACAUACAUUAUGAAAAAUGCGCUUUAUGGUACGACAAUAAACAUGUAUACGAGAUGUGAUGAAUCAAUUAGUUAAUGUAGAGAUAAAGAUUCAAGGCUAGUAAUUGAUUCGUCACAUCUCGUGUAUGUUUAAUGUCGUACCAUAAAACAUUUUUCAUCUCCUAAUAAUCUUGUAACAAAAAAAAGAAGACAUUAAUCUCUUGUUUGUAUAGAAAAAUGCAUGUGUUUUGUGCCAUUUUGAAGUUAGGGAUUUCUGACUUUUCUCUGCUCAUGAAAUCAAUAGUAACACUUCAGAUAUUAACCAUUCAAGUAAGAUUUGGUGCUCACAAAGAGUAUACAAGUCAUCACACCAAGGGAUCCUAAAACUAACAUGAAUUUCACAAGUACAUCUCUAGCUGCAGACACUCAUCGCCGUUUCUUUUCUCUUCAACAACCUUCAAAAGCAAUUCAUGGAUGUAUGCAUAUAGAGGCUUUCCUUCAACCCUUAGAUUGGCUUCUAACAGCAUUUCGUCUCACGUGGCAUCCUGCAAAGUAUAUAAUGGACUGACAUUGCACAAAAUAAAAGUGAGAAGAACUAAUACAAAGCUGCUGAAGAGAGUAUUGAAGAAAUGAUUAAGACGACCGUAAGAACUAUUUUGUAUUUAUCAUAUAUGUGGUAGUGGUAGUUAAAUCUCAGUCAUUAUUAUUUAUUGAAGAACACAACAUAUAGAAACUAGGUGGAUUUAAGAACUUCUGUUGAUUGCUGUUAACCACUACUACUACUAUCAUCUUACUAAGAGGCAACAAUAUCUUACCAAAACAGCAAACAAAGAAAUGAAAGACUUCUUCAUUCUUAUGCUUUUAAAUUUACAAAACCCAAUAAACGUCGCCAAUUCUAGAAUGUAUCUUUUACACUCAAACAUAUUAAUGGAGCCCUCUAUUCCUUUUCAGAAAGGGAGAGGAUCUAUGACCAACAAAAGGCAUGCUUACUUGCAAGUCACAAUUAUAGCAUUUUGAGAGUUUUUGUACCGCUUGCAGUCAUGGUUAGGGCUAACUGGAUGAAAGGUCAAGUCGUAGUAGGAUGCAUUUACAGCAGGAUAUCCACAUCUAAGUUAAAUGAAUUCCCAUGAUAUAAGAAUAUCAGAGACAUGUAUUAAGUUUCUUAUCUGAAAAAUAAACCAUAUUCUAAAUCGAAAUAAACUUGGCCGUUAUUAUAAAUAAGGAAAUUCUUUGGAAAGAAAGAACAUACUCAGAAGGCGGUUGGCAGCAGCCAGCCUCAGUCGGUGUCAAUUUAGCUAAUUUAUAUUGUUUCGGAGUCUGCACAACAUGAAAAUUGGAAAAGGGAUAAAUAACAGUUGUGAGUGUAGGCCACACACCUCAUAUCUUUUGGAUAUGUUAUUGCAGUCUUCAGUUUUGACUAGACAAACCCUCAAUUGCUUCAAAUUAUGAGAAUUGUUUAACUAAAAUAAGAAAAAAAGAAAGCCAAGGAAAUGAAUGUUGAAGUGUUUCUGUGCACCAUCUUUUCUCUAUGUUGACAAGAGUCUUAACUUCUUGGUGAAGAGCUAUAAUCUUGAUGUUGAUACUCCUUGUACCUAAGCAUAUGAGAAUGCUGUUGUAUAUUGAAUCACGCUAUGAUCUCAAGAAUGAAACAAUGGAGUCCUUGCCUCAAGCCAAUCACACUAUGACCUGAUCAAUUAUUAGUCACAAUGAAUCUGAAAAAAGAGCAGAAGAUUAUAUAAGAAUCCAAACAAGUAUCCAAAAUCAAAGAAAAUAAGUCAACUUUAAAGGACAUCAAAACAGCAGAUAAGACUCAAUUCAUGAAUUCAUAGGAGAGGCAAUAAGUAUUAAGCAAUUACAAGGAAAUGAUAAUGUAGAAAGCGGCAAUAACUGUUAAACAAUCUUGCACAAUUGCACCAAAGUAACACAUUAAUAGAAUUAAGUAACAUUUGGUAUCCAGGAACCAACCCAAGCAUGAAGCAUGCCUCGCUCUCUACAAACUUUAUGCAUCAUUGUCAUCAUAAACAGGCAAAAAUUAACCUCUUUAAUCUGUAGUUUAUCUGCCAUGUUAAUAAAAUGCAGACUGGUGUAAGAUGACUCCUUAUAGACUUGAGACAUGAUCCAAUUACCAUAUGGUUCCUUAGGCUCAAACAUAAAUUAUAUCAUAUGUGAACCCUACAGCAAACUGGUUUGGUUUCUGAGGAUGAGUAUCUAUAACUGUUGGGUAGAUAAUUGCAUUGCAACAAUCAAAUAAAUAAAAUAAAGCAAAAGCUGAUGACAACCUUACAAUGUGUAUGUUUGGAUGAGGUAAUUGAGAAAUUUUAAAGAAUUUAAAAUUCUAGGCAAUUUAAAUGAUUCAAUUAAAUUACUUUCAUUUCUCAAUUCUUUUGUUUGGAUGAAGUAAUAAAAAAAUUCAUUGUCAUCAUUUUUGGGCAACUUUUAUAAAUUUUAAUUUUUUUAGGCCAAAUUUAAAAAUUGAAAUUAGGGGUCAAAAUGUAAAUUUCAAAAAAUUGAGGGGUCAAAUUAUAAUUUUUGAAAAAAUUGAGGGACCAAAUUGCAAUUUUUUGGAAAUUUAUUGGGGUCAAUUUGAAAUUUUUGAAAAUUUGAGGACCAAAAUGCAAAAUAUGAAAAAUAACAAUAAUGAAGAAAUUUGAAAUUCUUAGCUUUUAGGUGUCAUUUGAAAUUCUCUAAAUUUAACUUGAACAAAAUACUUCAUAAAUUUCCAUCAUUUUGAAAAUGCUUCAAAUUAUUAUCAAAACAAUGGAAUUCAUCCCAAACUCCAAAGUAUUUGAAUUCCCCAAUCCAAACACACUCUUAGCUUACACCUGCAACCACAAAAACUUCCACAAGCACACAAGCCAAACCAGCUAAUAAUGAACACGCUAUCCGACCUAAAAAAGCUGAUGAACAACCUUAAGUAACACAAUCAACGCCAAAACACACCAUCUCCAAAAUAGAUACCUUCUGAAACAGCCACUGAUGUGAAAUCAGCCCCACAAAAUGAUACAAAAACCUGCACUUUGCCAACAAAAACUCAGCUGCAGCAGGAUACAUCAUCCCAAGAGUACAGCUGAGAGUCCUAAAACUUAUGAGUGAAUUUUUAUUUUAUUUUAUUUUUACAAAAUGAGUGAAAUUUCUUAUAUGUUAGAAAUUUGAAAUAUAUAAUACCAACAUCAUUCCCAAGGUUGUUGACUUAAUUUGAGUUUUGUCUAACUGAUUUUUAAAAUAGCUGUUUACAGUUUGUUUUGACAAUAUAUAUAAUAGGUACAGCUUCUAAUAGUUUACUUAGAAAAAACUUGUAAGCCUAAAAGAGGUUUCACUACUUUGUAAAACAGAAAGAAAAUGAUACUUCCUCCGUCCGAGAUUGUAUGACGUUUUGGGCAUUUCACAAAUAUUAAAAAAUGCAAUUAAUAUUGUGUGGAAAAGAGAUAUUAUGAGUUGUUUUACAAAAUUGUCCUUAAUAAAUAAUAUGGGAAAGAUAAAUGAAUGAAUUGAAAAAAAAAAAAAAAAACAAUAAAUAGUUAAGGUUAUAAUAGGAAAAGUAACAUUAAAGUUGCAUUGGUAUUGUAAAGCGACAUACAAUUUGAGACCAUUUUUUUCCCUAAAGCGACGUACAAUUUGGGACGGAGGGAGUAGGUCAUAAGUGCAAGCGUCAUUUCUUAUCAUUUCAACGCAUGCAUGUUUUGUUGAUACAGAGAUGAUAUGCUUAAAUUUGUAAUCACUAUAAACUUAAUUGUUUUUCUUUACUUUAUAGAAGACCACAUUUUAACAUAAGUUGUAUGCAGGUAAACAGAUAUAGGAAAAAACACUCAUGAAGUUGAUGAUACAAAGAGACGACGAGCAAACACUAAAAACUGUAAAUAAAUUGGAAACUCUGAUUUGAUUUAAACAUUAAAUCGAACAUAAAGUUGAAGAACAAAAACAUAAACUGAACUAAUAAAUCAUCAGAAAAGAAACUAAACUACUUUCUACCUAAAUAUAAUAACAGAUAACUCAACAAAACCCUAACCCAUGUACUUUUUUACUAACAUAUAAUUCAAUUCAUAAUCCCUUUUCUCAUCCUAUCAUGUUGUCGGUCCAACAUAGUAACGCCUCUGGAUCGCCAAUUCUCAACCGGUUGGACUCCAACUAGGGAAAAAAUCCCCUCUGCUGAAAAAAGGAGACCUCCAUCCUUGACUUCUCUAGGGAACCAGCGUUCUUUCUCCAAAAACCGAUGUCCCGCCUCUGAGAUGGGGAUAUGGUGUGACAGGUCUCUCUGAGGACGAACUCGAGCGUGGGAAGUUAUAUCCAUUAAAGCCAUCCUCGUCAUCAUUUUGGAAAGGCAGAUGGUCGUGAUGGACGGAGGGGCCUAUUCUGCCCGCCAUGAUAGGUCUUAGAGCACAACGAAGACAUGAGCGACAUAGAGGACAGCUAGGUUGUUUAGUGAGCCAAGCGUCGAUGCAAACGACAUGGAAACUGUGGGAACAAAGAGGAAGCGUGCGAACAUGAUCACUCUCUUCAAAUUCAUCCAAACAAACGGUGCAGUCACAAUGUGAUUCCUCUCCUUAAUUUAGAUUUAUCGUAGAUGUCUUUGGGAAUGGCAUUUAUAACGGACUUUUCUAAGCCCUCGAUGUGUAUGCAUGUGACUCUCCUCACUCUUGUUGUUGAUUGGGACUCCACAUCGUUGUUGGGAGUGAGGAACCUCCGACCUUGAAACCAACGGCGGAUGGCAGGUCUUAGGUUGUGAGUGAUGAAUUGAGAAUAAGUUACUAUAAAGAAAACGCCGACAGCCAGCAUUACUAGUAGUAUUGCUAUCACAGGUAGAAUGAUGUUCACAAAUAUUGUAAAUAACUGAUUAGUUGUGAUGGCCAUGCUUUGGAAUAUUACGUACUCGCAGCAAUGGUUACUAUGGGCUGUAGUUUUUUGUUUUGUUUGGUUCUGUUUGGGGUGAUAGAAUACAAAAUAAACGGUUUCUUUUUUUAGCUUUGUAAUUAAUUUCAUAUUAUACUUAUGAUUCAAGUUUCCAAAAUUAAGAGUCUUAACUUUCUUUCCUUUUUUGUGUUUUUUUUCUUCUUUCCCUUUUUCCCUCGUUUCACCAAAAAAACAGAGAGAGGAACGUGGGUUAUAGUUAUAUUAUUUUUUUUUGGUUACAAGGUUAAUAAAAUGGAAAUGGAAAAAGACCAACAGAAACAAAACAGAAAAGAAAAAAAAAACUAACGCCUCAAAAAGAUCGUUCCUAAUUCAUCCGACUGCAGCAAAGGAAGGAGCCCAUCUGGAGGGUGGGAGUGAAUUAACAAAUCAACAUCAUUAGAAGCUCCGAUUUUGGCCAUGAAAUGCACACUGAUUGCCUUCUCUUAGCGAAUGGUGAAGAGAGAAAUUUCGCGCACCGAUGAGGUCUUUGAUGUUCUAAAUGAGCACAGCAUAGACAUGAUAAUGAUUCAAACCAUCCUUGAUGAGAUUAACCGUAAGAAGAGAAUCUAAGUAGCAAGCCAACUCGUUGUAAUUCAGAUUGGUCGCUAAAACCAGACCGUGAUAGAGAGCUGUGAGCUCCGCAAGAAGGAUGUCCUCGGAGUGAUGAAUGCACCCUGAAAAAGCUGAAAUGAAGCUUCCUGCAUGAGUUCUGAGAGUACCACCGAAACCAAUUUGGAAAACAUUGUGACCAAAUUUCCAAAUUGAUAUGGUUAAAUAAUGUAUCAACUUAAAUAAGGAAAAUGUUAAUCAAUGCCCCGGAUCACUGGUUAAGGAAGCAAAUAUAGUAGUUUUUGCAUCGGAAAUCGUGUAAUCAAUUUAUCAAAAGUCAAAAAGGUGUUAUUUUUCAUUGAAAUUUUCCUUUUUUGGAUUCCUUAACCACUGCACUGAGGGCACCGGUUAACAGGACCCUUUAAAUAAAACUAAGGGUUAUGCUAACCGGUGCCCUUAGGGCAAUGGUUAAGGAAACCAAAAAAAGAAAGUUUUAGGUUGAGGGCCUGUUUGUUACGGAUUAAAAUAAAAGUGAUUUUGGAUUUUGCCAUAUAAUAAUUUAGAGAUUAUAUUUUAGAGAUUUUAUGAAAAAUCAGAAUCUAUUUUGCAUUUUUUUACCUUGAUAAAAAUCAAUUCUUUUGAACAAAUAAUCUAGUUUGUUUGGAUACAACUAUAUAAAAGAAAUUUUUUGUUACAAAAUUAGUUCAAUCUCUUAAAAAAUAUUUUCUCUCUCUUCUAACAAAAAUCUAUUUUUUGAGAAGAUGAUCUUAAUAGCUUCUCAUUUGAAGCUGUUUGAAACUGUUUUUAGAUUUGUUUUAGAUUCUGAUUUUUUUUAAAAAACCUGUAACAAACGGAUGCAAAACUCUUAAAAGUGAUUAUUUUCUUAAAAUAAGUUAUAACAAACGGGAUAUGAAAAUAUCACUUUUUAUACUUUUGAGAAGUUGAAUGCACUAGUUAGCAUUUCCCUAAAACUAAUCACUUUAGCCAAAAAAAUUAUGUUUCUUUUAGUAAAGAUAAUGAGACAUUGUUAGAUACUUCCUCCAGUCAUAUUUAUAAGAGAAAACCAACUUUUUUUGAUACAUUGAAUAAUUAAUGUAUCCGGUCACAUUUAAGGUCAGAUACAUUAAUUAUUCAAUGUACCUAAAAAACUAUUUUUUGCUUAUAAAUAUGACUGGAGGGAGUACUAAUUAAAUAUGAGCAAAACUCAUACUCGGAAAAUAAUUUAUAAAUUUUAAUAGAUGUUUCAACCCUAAAUUUAGUGGAAGAAUAAAAUGCAAAAAAGGGAAAAUGUGUCAACCAUUUGUUUGAAUAAAUGGGGUGUCUGAGAUUCGAAAAGUGUCUCAAUUUGAAGAAAAAAAAAUAUACAAGAAUAUUUUAAAAUUGCAUCCAAAAGCAACAAUGGAUUGAUUUAAGCAGGAAAAAAAAAAAUUAAAAAUUGGGCCCCAUAAGAACACCCACAAUGCAACAUUGCAUUUGAGUGUUUAAUGUCUCUAUCAUUAAAUUUCAAAAUUGAUAUGGUUAAAUAAUAUAUCAAUUUAAAUAAAACUAACCACUUGUUUUAUAAUUUAGACUUAACUAACAUCCAAUCUUUCCAACUCAUCACAUCAAAAAAAAAUAUUAAAUGGUCACAACAAUAACUCUAUCAUUAAAGUUGUCAAAAAAAAAAAACUCUAUCUGAUUUAAUCAUAAUUAUCUGAUUUUUAAAAUAUUAAAUUAAUUCUUCCUAAAACACAUUAAAUUAAUUCAAUUAAAAAAUAUAAAUACCUGUGCUAUUUUUUUUUCUUCAUUUUAUUAAUAAUUUGAAAAAAAAUACGUUUUUCCCUAUAAUUAAGCAACGAUGUACAGUAUGAUUGUUUCAUUUUUUCCUACUGAAGGAUGCACUAUAUUGUUUUUUCCUUAACAAGCCAAAAUAAAAUAUAUUAGAAACCUUUAGUGGCUCAACUCGCAUAAGGCGUGCAAAGCGAGCCACCAACAAAGAUACAAUGUCAAGUUACAUGUGCAUAACAACGCACUCCAAAUGAAAAAGCAAAAAUCUGAAAUUACAUCGUAACACCCAUAUAAUAUAAAAGGGUGGUUCCACCGGUUGUGAUAGCUAUAAACAAAGGUGGACAUGUUCGCCUUAAGCCAUUGAAAAGAUAGCAAUUUGACAGAGUCUGCUAAGCUAAAGGAAUCAGCCACCUGUUGAUGGAAAACGCGUUUAUUCCGCUCCUUUCAAAUAAUCCAGACACAACACAACCAUAUUAUUCUAAGGAACAAAUGAGCACAACGCGGUAGCCCCGUCAAGUGGCCAAAGUGAAGUAAAUGGCUACGAAUCUCAAUGGGAGGCACAAAAUAUAAAUGAAGCCACUGCAAAACCAAAAAUCACGCGCGACUAAAGAUGUCGCAAGUGAAAAAUAGGUGGUCAGCUGUCUCUAUAGAACCGCAGCCUGACACGCACGAAGAAUUUGUCGUCGAACUAAGUUGUCUUUGAUUGAAAGUCUAUUGCAAACUAAGUGAAAAAUAGGAUGCACUGUAUUCUUGAAAAUGAAAAUUCAACGUUGGUCAAAUAUAUAAACACUUGCAAGUUACAUCCAUUCUUUUAUUUAUUUUUUAAUGUUAAAAUAAUAUAACAAAGCUUGACCAGAAAAUAAAAUAACAAACAAUUGAAGGGAUAAAAUUUUCUCAAAAAAAUUGAAGGAAAAAACUAUUUUUACAAUCAAUUGGGCAUGUAGGACUCAGAAAUAAUAAGAGAAAGAGGGUGCGUAUAAAUACCUAUCUCUAUAAGUUAUGGGUGUCUAUAAAGACCACAUACAUCAUUAAAUGAAUAAACCUAAAAAGUAAAUUUUGCUUAUAUUUUGAAACGGAGGGAGUAUGUUUUUACCCUAAAAAUAAAAUGGAGAUGUAUGUUAAAUAGGGGAAGAAUCUUCAAGAGUAGAUGGUUUUGAUUCUUGUGUGUAAGCGACAGUAAAAAUUUCACAUCAUUGUGUAAGCAACUGUAAAAAUUUCAUAUCAAUAUUAUGGUAACUCAAAAAAAUAAGAGGAGUGUUAUUUAAACAACCAAUUUGGUGAUAAUUUAUUUGAUAACCAUAUUUUACAAAGAAAAAAUGGUAUUGGCACGGAAACCAUAACAAUAGAGAGAUAAAGUAAAAAAUAAUGUGAAUAUGAGAGAAAAAAUUGUUGCAAAAGUUGUCAUUAAAUAGAUGUUGAAAUAUCAUUUCAAAUGAUUUAAUACAAGAGUAUUUUAUUACUUGCAUUAGCUACCUUAAUUUUACACGACCAAAAAAAAAGCUACCUUAAUUUUACGAAUAAUUUUGAGGAAGACAUUCAAUUGCAUUAAAUUUGAACACGGAUUUAUGUAUAAUGGUUUUUUUUUUUUGAGGAAAUGUAUAAUGGUAUUUUAAAUCGCAAUUAAAAAAAUAUCUUCGUAAACUUAGCUCAGCUGGUAGGAAUAUUACAUAUUAUAUACAGGGGCUACUUGACAAAAAAAAAAAAAAAUCGCAAUUAAAAUUGCAUUGCAUUAACGAGCUAAAUUGUAUUUAAAGAUUCUUAUUCAAAUUAGUAAAUCAAUGAUUAACGUAAUUUUUUUUUGUCAAGAUGACUAAUGCUAAAAAUAUAUCUUGAUAGUUAUUUUUUUUUACUUGUACUUAAUAUAUUAAAUCAUGCAUAUAUCCAAAGCUAUAAUUUCGAAAUUAAUAGAGUAUAAAUGCAAAUAUUUUUAGAAUUAGAGAUAUUAUUUGGAUAUUUAUACAUUAAAAUUAUGACCCGUAAGCUUAACUCAGUUGAUAGGGAUAUUGCAUAUUAUAUGCAGGGGCGUAGGUCGAACCUCGGACACCCCACUUCUCCACAUUUAAAAUGUGUGAGUUUAGCAACUAUGCACAAAAAAAAUACAUUAAAAUUAUGAAAAACGUUAACUUGUGCCCUUAAGAUACAAGUUAAAGAAUCAAAUAUAGAAGUAGUUUAUUAGAAUGUGUACAUUACAUUUAAUCUUUAACUUUUUAAUGAUUUGAAUGCACAAAAUUUUAGAGAAUAUUUAUUCUUUUAGGUUUUUUAACAUGUGCCCUAAGAAAAUAAGUUAACGAGUAUUGCUGUUCACACAUUUGGUUUGGCUGAGAAACACGAGUAAUUUACCCAAAUAUCCUUCGACAGUUAACUGCCGAAAUUUUAAAGAACCGGCUGCAGUUAACUGCCGAGGAAAACUUCGGCAGUUAACUGCCGAGGAUUUUCAAACCUGAAAUUAAAUAAGGAAAUACACCUAAAUUUUCCCUUAAUUAAAUUUAAUUCUUUAUUACAUGAUUCUUUUUAUAACGUUGUUGAUUUCAUUCAUAUAAUUUUGUUGUCAUAAAUGAAGAAAUAUGAGAUCCUAGAAUUACAUAUUCGAUCACGUUUCUUACUAGUAAUAGAAAAGAGGUUUUAUUUCUACCCAAAAAAAAAAGCUUUUAUUAAUAGAAUAAUUACAAAUAUAAUUAUUUAAAAGAGAGAUGAAUAAUAUCUAAAAUAUUAGUACUCCCUCCGUCCCUAAUUAUAAUACCCUUUUGAGAAUUUUUUUUGUCCCUUUUUAUAAGACCCCUUUGUUAUUUCCAAUUACAUUAAUUAUUUCUUUACAUACAUGCCCCUAUUUAUUAUACAUAUUUUUCUUCAAUCAGCAAUAAAUAACAUAUGGAAAACAUAAACUAACUCUCUCUCUUAAGGAUAAAAUUGUAAAAACAAUAGUGAUUACAAACAACUUUAAUACAAAUAUCCACUUUUUUAAUUCCGUGAUUUUAGCAAAAUGGUCUUAUAAUUAGGGACGGAGGGAGUAUAAAGUAAUAAUAGGGUAGUCAAACCUAUGAAUAAUGACAGACAUCAAUGAAAUUAAUUACAAAUAUAAUUAUUCUAUCAUUUAUAAUGUUUUUUGUUGUUGCAUUUUUUUAUUGAAUCACCAUUUUAGGUCAAUUAAUUACCGAUGGAAUUGAACAAUGAAGAGGCACCAUUAGUAUUACAUAGAGACAAGAGUGCUUUUCAUAACCCACUACUAUAUUUUUUUCUAUUAGUGUUAAUUAAAGGGGAGUUCCAAAGAUUUUUUUUUAAGAGUUUUAAGUUCCCGAGAAUUCUUAUUUGAUUUUUUAAAAUGAUUUUAACUAAUUGAUUAAUUAAUAAGAUAAACGAAAAAUGAACCGAGAGACGGGUACAACUAAUAAUGAAGCAAUAAAAAUCCAAAUAUGAUGAUAACUUUUUUUUUAAAAGAAAAUAGGAAGAUAACUUGAAAUAAUUAUCUAAAAAUGAGCUAUUUAAUUUUAAAUAUAAUUUUGCUAAAAAAAAAUUAAAUACAAUUAAAAGGAUAAUUUGAUCAUUACACAUUCAAAAUCAAGUUUCAUUCAAAUCAUCCAAACAAUAUCAACUCAUAAGAAUCAAUUUUAUUAAAGUGUAUCCAAACAUAAAUCAAUUCACAUCCAACUCACUUUUAACCAAAAUCAAUUCUCUCAAACUCAAUUCUCCCCACCCCCAAACCAAACACACUUGGUAUAGCGACGGUGAGAAUUGAUUUUGAUAGAAUUGAGUUUAAAAGAAUUGAUUUUCGUUAAAAGUGAGUUUGAUCUGAAUUGAUUUAUGUUUGGAUACACUAAUGUAAGUGAUUCUUAUGAGUUGAUGAUGUUUGGAUAUUUUAAAUCAAAAUUGAUUUUAAAUGUGUAGUGACCAAAUUACCCUUUUAAUUGUGUUUAAAAUUAAAUAUUUCAUUUUAUAUAAUUAUUUUAAGUUAUCAUAUUUGGAUUUUUAUUGCUUCAUUAAUCAUUAUUAAUAGUACUUAUUUCUUGGUUCAUCUUAUUAUUAUUUUCUUAUUAAUUAAAAUCAUUUUCAAAAAUUGAUCUUCAAAAAACAAAUAAGAAUUCUCUAGAACUUCUCUUAAUUAAUAAAUAACAAAUAUAGUGAUGGGUAACUAAUGUCUCUGUAAUACUAGUACUACCCAUUUCAAUGUCAAUAACACUACCCGUUUCAUGUCGCCUCUCUCAAGAUGUUCAAUUUUAUGGAUGGCAUCAUCCUUUCUUCCUUUUUCUGUUUUUAGUUUUCCAAAUUUUUGAAUUUUUCAUUCAUAUUCUCUAUUGAAGCUUCCAUGGAGAUUGGGUAUUUCCUUAUUCUUCCUCCCCACUUUUGUUUUUCACCAAAUCUGGAAAAAUAAAGAGAAAGUGUUCCAUAUAAUAAACAUUGAAGCCUGAGGAAAAGAAAAAAAAAUAGAGUUUGAGUUGAAUCAUGGGUAUUUAUGAAAAAUAUAUUUCUUAACAAAAAAACAAACUCCAAAAUUACUUUUAAUUGCAGAAGCUACAAUUUGCGGCUUCAAGUAAACCCACGUUUUGACUGUAAAAUUGUUUUUUCGAAAUUGCUUUUGAUUGUAUCCAAACAUCACUGAAAACAAACCAACGUGCGUUUGAAGGCACAAACUCACGUUUGGAGAGCACAAACGCUCAACCAAACAUUUCAGAGAGAACUUAGAUAUUUUAGUAUGAAAUAUAAAGAGAGGAAGAUAAUAGAGACAGGGGAGGGAGGGAGAGAGGAGCAGAGCAACAACCAUUAGAAAACUUUAGAGCGUGAUUUCAAGCUUGUGGAUGCUUCACCAACAUCAAUCACUUCUUCUUUGUUUGUUACUCACAUCAUGUGUAACUAAACUCUCGUUGUGCUAAGAAUUUGAUGUAAGUAGCAAAGAUUUCAAUAUACUACCAUUAAUCUGAUUGGUUGUAUAUGAUCUAUGCAUUCAAUAUAAUCUUUGAUUUAAAUAUUUAUUUAAUGCUUUUGUCGACGAGCACUCCGUAAACGAUAUUUUGAUUUAGCAAGUGCGAGACAUUGACUUGUUGCUUAAAGGGAUCUGGUUUAAAUCAUGUAUAUAUAUUUUUUUUUUAGAGGAAACCAUGUAUAUAUACUAACUGCCAGACAUAUGGUUAGGUUUAUAUUCAUAUUCAACUAUCUGGUCAUAUCUCAUUGAAUCAAUCGAUUAUUUGCUUAGCAUCAGAAGUUGGUUGGUACAAUGGAUUUUGCAUCGUUUGCCAGACAUGGAAACAUACGAUGAGGGAAAUGUGAAGUUAUAUUUGAAUCAUAGAAACUUUAGAAAGUAUACAAUCAAUUAAGAGGAACCAUUAUGUGAUAAGUUAUCCAUGUCUAAUCUUGACAUAACUUUCUCUUUUAUGCUAAUUUGUAACCUAAGUUUGAUUCCUGGGUGAAACAAUUUUUGACCACACUAUACUUAUCUCACGGCCAAACUCCAUAUUAUCAUGGCUACUUUCUCUAUGAACCGGAGGUUAAAAGAAAACAUUGUUUACAACUUUGCUCCUAACACAACCACAUCUCACCUGAUAUGAACAUUGCGAUAUGCAAGAACCAUGCAAUAUGCAGGGACCAAGGGUUCAAAGUUCAAAGUCUGAACUCCCCACUUAUUCAUCUCAAAAUGGUGAAUUUCUAGUUGCUAUGCUACUCGACAAAACAAAUUCAUUUUUUUUAAUGUUUUUAUUUUUGUAGAUAGACGAAAUGGCAAAACCAUUAUAAACUCACACACACAAGUGGAGGUACUAGGGUUCGAACUCCGGUCAUGGCAUCUGGCCUAACAAUUUUGACAUUUUGCCAGUUGAGCUAGGACUUCUGGAUUGUUUUUUUUAUUUAAUUAGUACAUAGUGUAAAAAAUAAAAUAUAUUUUUAAGGCAAUUAUACAAAUAUAUUAUCAUUUCUUAUAUCUUAUAUGUAGAUAUAUCAUAUAUGUGUCAACAAUGUUAUACGCGUGUUUGAUUCAACGAUGAUAAAAUAUAAUUUUGACAAAUGGAUUAAUUUUAUAAAAAGAUCGACAAAAACUUUAUUGAAUAUAAAAUAAUUUAUAUUUAAAUACAAUUAUGUAAAGUGGCUUAAGCGAUAAAUUUAUUCCUUAAAAACCUUUGCAAAGAUAAAAGUUAUAAAUUCUAACUAAGUUAAAAUCAAAUUUGAAAGUAAAAUUAAUUGCAAACAUCUAUAAUCAAUUUUGUCUCUUUCAAGAAUAAAUCAAACAUACUUGUAAGGCUAUUAAAUUCAGUAAACUCAAUUUAUCAUUAUAUAUUUUUUAAUCAUGGCAUCAUUCGCGCGAUACUGCAGAAGUUAAAGAAUUCAAAUAUCUAUCACUUGUGUCAUACCAGGAUGAUAAUAUAAUAUUGUUUUGUCUCGAUUUAAUUUGUUUUUGGAUUUCAAAUUUAAUUGAUAUAAGUUUAAAAUAAAAUUACACAUAUAUAUUAAUUGUAUUCUUUCUACAAACGUGUUUAGGAAAUUAAUAUAACUUUUUUUUUUAAGUUGCAUGUUAUCAGUAUUGCCAUUGGAUACAAAUUAUAUUGCCCCAAUGGUGUUUAUUUUUUUGUUGGUACUCUAAUUGAGUGAGUGUUUGAUUUUUGUUGAAAAGUGGCUCAAAAUUAAAUUUGGAAGUUCUGGAAAAUCAUGGUGCGAUUUGGUUUAGCAAUUUGGAGGUUUUGGUUCGUAAAAAAAAAAAAAAAAAGGUUUGAGGUUUCCUCGGCAGUUAACUGCCGAAGUUUUUAGUUUUUCUCGGUAGUUUACUACCGAAGUUUUCCUUGGUAGUUAACUGCAGCUGGUUCUAUAAUUCGGCAGUUAACUGCCGAGGGACAUUUGGAUAAAUUACUCGUGUUUCUUGGCCAAUGCAUAUGUGUCAACAACAAUUCUCUUGUGCUUUACACUUGGGAACACUUUACCAUGUACCCCAUCACUUAUACCUUCACCCCUAAAAAUCAUAAAAAAUUUCAAUUUUGACCCUUUUGUCAUAUGACUUCACCCUUCUAUAUCUUUUUUGAUAGAAAAAGCUUUUGUAAUUAAACACAAGAUUUCUGGAAAUUGAAAUUUAAACCGUGGUUGAACUGUAGAUUUCCGUCGAUGAAAUUACAGUUGUUUAAGUUACCAAAAAAACUUUUUUCGUCUUCAACCUUCGUUCAUAAUUUCUAAUUGUAUGAAUAAUAAUCAAAAUGAAAGGAACCCAAAACUCACGAAGCUAAAAAUAAGCCACAAUCCAAAAGUAAAAGAGAAUACAACUUUUUCAACCUGGAUACAAAUAACUAGCACUUAAUCGAAAAACGUUUGAUUAUGAUUUACAUGAUUUGUCAAGGCUGUUCAUAUUUUCCCAUGAAUCUAAUAGUUUUUGCUUAUUUUUUUUCACGAAAGAUCUACCAUCAAAUUACUAAAGGGACAAAUUUGGAAAUUUAUAUGAUUUGCAGAGGUAAACAUAGAUUUAACCUCGUGAGUUUGAGUUUGUGGAAGAUUUGUUGUUAAUACAUCAAUGAUCAUGGAAUAAUUUCUUGAUUGAAGGUUAAGUGAGGAAUUCUGGGUAACUUUUAAUUAGUAGAAAUAUUUUGUAGGGGUGAAGUCAAAUUAUAAAAAGGUAAAAUUGGAAUUUUUCAUAAUUCGUAAGGUGGAAAGUAUAAGUGUAGGGGUAUAGGGUAAAAUUUCCCAUACUUGGUUACUAGAUUAGAUCUAGGUCUAUCAUUGUUACUUCUUUUUGCACCAUACAUCUAAGUUUACUAGGGUGAGUUGAAUCCAAAUUCACAACAAUUAAUUUAAUUUUUGAGUAUUGCCAUUUACGACCAAAAGCAUGCUAUGCUAUAUUACUCAACAAAUUUGGUUGCAACAUUAGUGUUCGAAACACCUUAAAUAGGACUAUCUCAUGUGCAGAACCUAUGAGAAACCAAAAUAGUUAUAAAAAGCUAUAGUAAUAAUUAUGUUAUAGAACAAACAGGCAUUAAUUUCCUGUUCGUAUAGAUUGUCAAAAAAGAAAUCAUGUCAUUAGAGUUUGGUAAUUCUAAUUUUUCUCUGCUAAUGAAAUCAAUGGUAUCAUUGAAGAAGAUAUUAACCAUUCAAGUAAGAUCUGGAGCUCAUGAAAAAUAUACAAAUCCUCACACCGAGGGAUCCUAAAACUAACAUGAAUUCCACAAGCUCAUCCCUAGCUGAAGACACUGAUCUAUGUUUUUUCAUCUUCAACAAAUUUCAAAAGCAGUUCAAGAAUGCAUAUAGGUUCCCCUUCAACUCUUAGAUUGGCUCCUAGCAGCAUUUCGUCUGGCGCAGCAUCCCACAAAGUAUAUAAUAGACUGGUGUUGCACAAAAUAAAAGUCAGUGGAAUUAAUACAAAGCUGAAGAGAGAGUAUUGAAGAAAUGAUUAAGACCAUAAAACUAUUUAUCAUAUAUGGCUACGAGGUAGUUAAAUCUCAGUUAUUUAUAGAAUAACACAUCACAAGUUAUUACCAUAUUACAAAGAGGCAACAAUGUCUUACCAAAACCGCAAACAAAACAACAUUGAAUAUUGCAACAACUCUCCACUCGAUUUUCAUGUACUGUGCCACGCCAGCCCUAGAACCAACAUUGAGAAUAACACAAUGAUAGUGAGAUAAUGUACUCAUCUAGAAAAAUAUAAACGGAACAUGGACAAUCAGGAAUAAAGAUCCUCUCCAUCAGUCAAAAGAAAUGAAAGACAACAUUACAUGUUUUUAAUGUCGCUAAUUCUAGAAAUAUGUAUUUAUACACUCAAAUACAUAGUAAUGGAUGGAACCGUCUAUUUCUUCUUAGAAAUGGAGAGGAUUGACAAUCAGCAAUAAGGCAUGCUUACUUGCAAGAAUCACAAUCAUAGCAUUUGACGGCUCGAGAAUUUUUGUACCGCUUGCAAUCAUGGUUGGGGCUAACUGGUUGAAAGGUCAAGUCGUAGUAGGAUGCAUUUACAGCAGGAUAUCCACAUCUAAGUUAAAUAAAUUCCCAGGAUAUAAGAAUAUCAGAGACAUGUAUUGAGUUUCUUAUCUGAAAAAUAAACUAUAUUCUAAAUUGAAAUAAACUUGAGCGGUUAUUAUAAAUAAGGGAAUUCUUCGGAAGGAAAGGAGAACCUACUCAGAAGGUGGUCGGCAACAGCCAGCCUCAAUUGGGGUCAAUUUAGCUAAUUUAUAUUGUUUCGGAGUCUGCAUAACCCCCAGAUUGGAAAAAAGGGGUAAAUAACAAGUUUUGUGAGUGUAGAAAAUAACAGUGAAUUCAAUUUUCUGGAGUAGUAUAGAUAACACACCUUAUAUCUUUUGGACAGGUUAUUGCAGUCUUCAGUUUUGACUAGACAAGCCCUCAAUCGCUUCCAAUUAUGAGAAUUGUUUAACUAAAACAAGAAAAAACCAAGGAAAUGAAUGUUGCAGUGUCGCUGUGCACCAUCAUUUCUUUAUGUUGAGAAGAGUCUUACCUCUUUGAGAAACCAAGAGCUAUAAUCUUGAAGUUGAUACUCCUUGUACCUAAGCAUAUAAGUAUGCUGUCAUUUAUCGAACCAGACUAUGUUAUCAAGAAUGAAAUAAUUGACUCCUUACCUCAAGCCAGUGACACUAUGACCUGAUCCAUUAUUAGUCACAAUGAAUCUGAAAAAAUGGUAGAAAAUACAUAAGAAUCAAAACAAGUAACCAAAAUCAAAGAAAAUAAGUCAACUUUAAAGGACGACCAAAACAACAGAUAGGACUCAAUUUAUGAAUUCAUGGCAGAGGCAAUAACUAAAAGCAAUUACAAGAAAUGAUAAUGUAGAAAGCGGAAAUAACUGUCAACAAACUUGCACACUUACACCAAUACCGUGAAGACCAGGAUUCCCACCAAGAUGAAAAACAACAUGAUCAGAUACUGCAAGUGCAAUGUCAAGGACAAUUCCCUUAAUCCAAAAUUUCUUAGCAGAGUGUUUGGUUUUAUGGUUAUGAAAAUUGAUUUUAAUUUGCAAUUGUUCACAUAAAAGUGAGUAGAAUCAUAAAUUUGAGAAUAAAAACCAUGUUUGCACGCAAAAGCAACAAAGUCUAGUUUCAAGUUAGAACUUAGAACCAAUUCUAAAGGAAAAAUCAAUCAUAAACUCCCAAGGAUACAACCCAUAACAGCAUGGAGCUUCUUUUCAUGGCACCUAAGAAACCAACAAUGGAUCUGUAUGGUACAAAACAAAAAUGUGUUAGAAGACGAUAAAGCAAGAGAAAAAAUUCAAAAGAAAAUAAGGCACCAAAAUCAUAAAGAAAGUGAAAAAACUGACAUUAAGAAUAUAACAGCUCCAAUGCUUAGCACAGGUAUAGUGAGAGACUUUCUGCAGGCAUCAGGACGAGUGCUCAUCCACACCCCAAAUAUUAUCACAACUAUGGCCAAAACCUGCACAAUGAGAAUGUUAUCAACAUGUAGCACUCACAGUUCAGAAUGAAGACAUGUCCGAUGUCCAGCACAUAUGAUAUGUCUAAUAUAACAUCGACACAAUGCUGACACAAACAGUUACAUUAAAUCGCAUUUUUUAAAUUAGAGUGAAGACACAAUUUGGUUUCUCACAAUUUUCUCUCGGCCCAAUACAGUCUCCAACAAAAAAUAAUACUCGUACUAGUCUCUGACAUUUUUAUAUCAAUUAGUCCAUAUCUUAUAGUAAAUUAGGGACUAAUUUGUUCUCCGUAAAAUAAAUUGCCACAAACUAAUGUGGUAAAAAAUUGUGAGAGACUAAAUUGAGCAUUUACUCUUAAAAUCAUUAUUGGUGUCUACAUGUGGUGUGGGUGUUGUCUCUUGUCUUAGUGGUAAGCACAACAUCAACAAAAAAUGCUGGAGAGUUCAAUUAAUUAGUACCCAAAAAUAAAAACUUGCUAGAAAUAGAAAGGGUUAACAGAAUGAACAGCAAGUACAAAACACAAAGUGGGUUUGCAAAAAGAACAGCAAGUACAAACACAAUAAAAGCAAUGGAAAAUGGAACAAACCCAAAUGAUUUUUUUUUACCGGUUUUGAAAAAUUUCAGGCAUUUCAACCAGUGUAAGGGAAAUGCAACCUAAAAUUAACAGUAAAUCAUAAAGAACAUCAUUCACAGUAGAAGAAAAGGAAUACUUACCAUGGUGAGAAAGUUGAUCCAUCUAGUAACAAAGGUGCUAGUUCCCAUCCCCAUUUUUUCAGAAGAGGGAAAGGGAAAAUUAUGAGCUAGCUAGAAUGUGUUUAUUUUAUUCAAAUGAUUGUUUUUUGUUUGUUUCUAAAACAAGAAAUGGAAAUUAAAAAAGAAAAAGUAAGAAGAAAGAGUUACUGUUUGAUGUUAUGAUAUGAAUGAAUAUUUAUGAUGAUGGUGACGCACACGGUGUGUUUAAUGUAACUUUGUAAGCCAAAGAAAACCCAACACCCUACGACACAGCAUCCUAUGCACACCAUGCCGAUGAGACCGUAACAUAACCAUAACCGUGACAAGUAACACCAACAUCCAAAAAGCUGUCUUUUUUUCAGUUGAUCCGGUAGUUUAGUGACUAAAACUUCACAUUUUUUAAAAUGAAAAGAUAGGUUGUCUAAGCUUUGAAUUUCAAUCUCUACAUAUAUUACUCUACAAAUCACCUGACUCACGAAGACACCAAAAAGUUGUCUUUAAUGGAUAAAUAUUAAAUAAAUCUAGUAAUUCAAACUUGUGAGCCUAAACAUUGGGUCACAGUCACACAUUCCACUUACAACGUUCACUUGUUAUUCAAAUGUUGGUUUUACUGUUAUCAAUGAGAAAGAAACAAAAACCAAAAACAAACAAGAAAUAAAUAAAACUACUCCCUAUAGAGGAAAGAUAAGGAAGAUGGUGAUUGAUUCAAAAUGUGAAUAUGAUCUACACACUAGAUUCUUGUUUGUUCAGCUAACCAAUCGAUACACAUGUAUGGACAAAACUCAAUUCAGACUAAUUAAAUGCCGGAUAUAUAGGCUACAAUUGCAUAAACCUGUACUUCCUAGGUUUUAAAAAUUAAUUUUCGUUUUCUUAAUAUACUUUUUUUUUAAAGAAGUUUUUUUAAUAUCCUUUUUUUUUUUCAUUUUAAGUAAAUACUUUUUUUAGAUAAAUGUUAUUUAGUUUUUAAUAUAUCAGUAAUGUUAACUUUCCUUCAUAAUUUUAUUGACAUGUUUCAGAUGCAUGCAUUGAGUAUCAUUAGUUAGAAUUGUCAAGAAGAUGUUCUUGCUUUAAAAUACCUAGUUCGAUACGACAAACAGGAUACAAAAUAUUUUUUCUGUUUUCUUGUCUUUUUUACAAUUGACAGAACAUUGAGUUUUUUCAUAGGUUGCACUAAAGUUUGUUGAAUCGUCAAUCAAUUUUAAUAACAGUUUACUUGAUAAGAGAUGACACUUCUUCAAAGAUAAGUCAUACACUCACUCUCAAACACUCCAAUUGCUUAAAUUGAAAGCUCUAAGCCUGAUAUUUGUUUUAUCUUCUAAACUUCAGUAGAAUUUUAAGGAGAAAAAUUCAAAUAAUGACUAAUACCGACUCUGGUAGGGAUGACUACAAAUAUUCAUUAUUUUAGUCGAAUUGGUGGCAAUAAUCGCACACAUUAAAUGUGGAGAAAUGCAAAAUUGCAAAUUUGAAUUGCACUUCGAUACUUCACAUAAAUAAAACUUGCUGCUAUCAUGAGUUAUACUUGUAGAACGACUACAUAUUCUAUUCUCCAAACUUGUUAUAAAGUUCUAAGAUGUAAUACAAAUUUGGUUAUUAAAUUUCUUAGUUUUUAUUUUGUCCAAAAAAGUAUGCUUAUAAAAAUUUAAAUUUAUACUACAAUCAUUUAAUAUUUUAUAAGAAAAAUAUGAAUGAUAAAAAAUAUUGUAUCCAUCUCACAAUGAAUGACUCAUUUAUAAAAAAUAAAAAGUUCUCUCAAAAUGAAUGACUCUUAAUUUUUCAAUUCAACAUUAGUUAUUUUUUUCUUCUAAUUAUAUACUCUAAUUAAUGUUAUUUGCAUCAUUUUCAAGUCAAUAUUUUUCAUUUUAUAUAUAUAAAGUCAUGCUAACAAGAACCUAACAAUUAUGAAUACACCAACACUUAAUAAUAAUUUGGUAAAUAAUUAUACAUUAUUUUUAAUCGAUGUGAAGUAAUCAAAUGAGAUACUUAUGAGACAGAAGAGAUAAUAAAAUUUCAUGUAUGUAAAUCUUCACAACUUGAACCUUGUCAUUAAAACUUUCUUUGAAUAAAACUAUGUUGUGAGGAUGAAUUUCCAAACAGUUAUUUUGUUGAUUUUUAUUAGUAGUAGUUUCGAAAGCAACUAAUUUUGUGAAUUAAAUGAACCGAUAGUGAUACUUGACCAAUUAUUGGUCCAACUAGCCCGACAGUUGCUAAAUAAAAUUUUGUUGGGAACGAGUCAUACCCUUUUUAUUUGUUUAUUUUGAUAUAAACUUAAAAGGUCUUGUACACCAAUGUCCUAAGUGCACUCUUUAAGAACUCUUCAUCAAGAAAAUAUUUAUUGAAAAAGUUAAAUAGUCAAUUUUUAAUGUAUUGAAUUGAUCAAUUUCUAUAAAAACUUGUUAUUUAAGGUUGUCAAAGAGUGUCCUAAGAACACUCAUUAGCAUUUUCCAAACUUAAGUAAAUUAAAUACAAGUUUCAAACUUUGGUAAUAAAAAUCUAAUGGCUGGUGAACACAGCAAACAGAGUUCAAUCAACUCAUUUUCUUAUUAGCCAAGCCUCUGCACAAUGCCAGCCUUAAUUUUAUAUGUGCAAUUUACCAGAGAGAUUAUACUACAUAUAUGCAGUAGUUGUUUCAAGAAUUGCUACUAUUUCAUAAUAUAAUAUACUCGACCAUGAAGAUUAAAUAAUUUCUCAAGUGGUCGCUGUGCACAAAAAAGAACAGAAAUAUAUGACAUCAUUUUAACCUAGGAGCACGGAUUCCACCCGGCCUUUUUUUUCUGGGAAAGAAAACUUCGACCCACGCCACAAACCUCUUGUAUAAUUAACUUGAAGUGCUCCUAUGAUUGCAGCCAGCACUCCCCAAAAGAAUGUACAAUCACCAAAAAUCAGGCAAUGACUUGUUCAGAGGCACAUGCCACAACUAUUCUACUCUAUUUGCACAUGUCAUAAUAAUUGAUUUCAUCAUUUCUUUAUCCAAAGACGUUUGAACCAUCACCUGCUCAAGAUGAUUACUGUUUAGGAUUAAAUUAUACUAUGCAUGAGUAUGAAAAUAGGUGAUUUCCAUCAAUAGCCAACCAGCAGUUAGAAGAACAAAGAUAAGAGAAGAAAACAGAAAGAAAAAAUCAAACCGCCAAAAAGCAUAUACAAAUAAGUGAACCUUUCAUUGGAAAAACCUUAGAUGAGCUGUGUUUGAACAUAUUUGAGAAAACCAAGGUCGGAUUGUGCUUGAAACAUGACUUUGGUUCUAAACUAAAACCUUGGAGUGUGGAAAUGAGGAAAAAAGGUUGUUUUUCUGUUGAUUUGGGCCAUGGUUUGCAAACAACAAUCCACAAAUGCAUUGUUUUGAUUGAACGUAAGCAACUGUAAUAUGCAACAAGUGCAUUCUUUAACACCCAUUUAUUGAAGAAAUUCAUCUACAUUCCAACUAAAUCAAGUGAAUCCCACGUCAUCUUCAUCCAAUAAAAAGAUUGAGUUGCUAGUAUUUCUAACAUGAAACUCAUUUAAAAAAGCAAUAUCAUGAAGUGUAUAUAACUCAAAAUUCGUCAUUAAUAUAAAAGAGAAAAAGGAAUACUAAUGAGAGGGGAGACAAUCUUGAAUGAUACAGCAAAAUAUGUUUAACAAGAAGCUAAAACAGACUAAGACCAACAUUACCUCUUGUAUUUUGUUUUCUGAUCGGGCAAGCAACUUGUACUGAUUCUCAAAUAUGGAUGCCAUAUAAACCUGGAACAAAAUUUGGUUUGCAUGCACAUAAAUCAAGAACUUGAGUUUGCUAACAAAUAUUAAACUGUUUCAAGAACCAAACAUUAAAUAGCUUUCCCAUACGUUAUUUAUGAACAUGGAAGGUUUCAAAAAAACUAAAAAGAGUUAGUCUACGCAUUAGCCAAUUUUUUUUAGAAUUAAAAUAAUUUAUACGUGUUUUUCAAUAGUCUGGUAGUGACAGCUCAAAACAAGAACAAUUAAUUAAAUCUUCAAAGGGAAAAUGGAAAAAGAAUAAUUUGACAGAAAUGGUUUUCUAGUUGAAUAGUAGAACAGGAUUUAUAUAUUUCCAACUAAAGCUUAUAAGAGAACCAUAUUAUAUCUGACAGUUGAUUAAUUUUAACAUUUCAUAAACCAUAUGUGGAAUCCAUGAUUCACAAUGCCAGCUCAAUCAACAGAAUAAAAAAUGAACUAAUAUUCUUUCAAGUAAAAUAAUAAAAUGCAAAUCCAAAUAUGAUUCAUUAUAUUAUGCAGAGGUUUGAAUAUGUGUCCAUACCUGAAAUGUGGGAGCUAAACCAGGGCUCCUGAAAAAACGGCCUUUUGAAACUGACUGGAUGCCCUCAAUUUUUUGCAAUUCUUUUAUAAGAGAUUCGACUUCAGACCACUGUCCAAAAACGAGCAUAACAUGAUUAAUCAUUCGAAGCCACAAAUCAACGAGAUAGUAAAAUAAAUGUUGCAUAUUUAUCUUUGGUUCAUUGUAGGGCAAGAAUAAUUAUUUAUCUACUACAUCACAAACUGCGUCUGAACGAAAUGAUUGAUUGAAAAUACUAUGCACGGAAUGCAGGCAUAACCAAAGGGCCAAAAGUCAGAACUUGAAUAGCUUGUUAAAAAAAAAACAAAAGAACUUGAAUAGCGGAACCAAAAUGCGGAAAACAUUCAUUAUUUCAAAACUAUAUUUUGAUACUGUACAGCAAAUUAUGUACCUUCACAGACACUGAACCGGUUUAAAAAAUAAAUAAAAAACUUGAUUUAUCAAAUGCUGGAAAAUCCGCCUUUAUUGCGGUCCGCCCCUAGUCGCCUAAAUUGGGGCCUUAGGUUUGCCUUCAUUGCAGCCUCCAACACCUUCAUUGUGUUGGCUUUGAGGGGGGUGGACUUAGUCCCACAUCAGAUAGAUGGGACUCUUGAGAAGAGUUAUAAAGAGGAGACACUCCUCAUCUUACAAGCUGGUUUUGUAAAGAUAAGUUAGGCCCCAAAUUUCAACAUCCAACAACACAUCGGAACCACUACUUUACUUACUUUUACCCUCCGAGUUUUUUACAAAAUGUGGUCACAAACUACAAAAUGUGUACACUUAGGUAUCCCUGUCCCCAAACCCAAUGGAGUUCUGGUAUCCCUGUACCAAUACCAAUUCCCAACAGAGGUGAAAAUAGAACCCCAGCCCCAUACACGACCGGGUUCGGGUAUCCCCGCCCCACCCCCACAUGAAUUUUGACAGCAUUUUGUAAAAAAAUUAGGAAAGCGCAAACUUACGCCGUUCCAACAAUCUGAUUUUUGUAAACCAAAAAAAAAAGAGAGAGAGAGAAAACGACUUAGUUAGGACACAUCUUUAAAAUAAAAAUAAAUAUAUGAAUGUAAUUUAAGGGUUUGUUUCAGGGUUUCUAAUUUAAUAGAGGUAAAAAUGUAAUUUUGAUACAAGCCGGGGCGGGUUUGGGGUGAGCAUUAGUGUCCACAUUACCGCCCCCGUCUUUUUAAAUCGGGGAAAACUCAAACCCUGUCAAUUCAAGUUUUCCCCGUCAAAGUUGGGGUGGAUACCCAUGGGUACGGGUUCUGUUGCCAUGCCUACCACCAAGGUGGGUCUUACCAUAAUCCAAACUCACUUAACCAAAGGCAAUGGAGUAUAAGUCGCCUUGCCCCAUUUUCACACUUCACAUAAUCAAACCCACUUUAUUAUCACCAAACUUCAUGGGAGUGCACUUGACCAUUUAAGCCACACCUAUUAGUUGUAUUUUGAACUUUAUUCAAUUCUUAGUUAUUCCCACACAAAGACCCGUAGAUUUAUCACUACCAUCAGCAGAAAUGACCAAAUUCAAUCUAGCAGCUUGUUAUUGACUGAUAGGCCCAUUAUUAUUAAUAAUAGAUCUAUUAUUAAUUCGACGAGCAAACGUACACGUGGGGUAGAAAAGGGAAUAAUAGAAUGGACACUAGAUAGAGAGGAGGGUAACUAUAAACGGUAUCUGUGAAUUAGCAAUGUGUAUUGACGAAUUGGCUGGGAAGCUAGGUUGGCUCUCUUAGAGUUCAGAUUAUUAUUCUUUAGUUUUAUUUCCAUGUCAGGAGACAUCCUCUGGUUGUAAGGCUGUUUUCCUUUUAACUCAAUAGUCAAUAUACAUAUUUCUCUAUCUAUCCGUUUGGGUAUCAUUCAAUAAUUUUUUUUAUUUUGCAGGGGUCUGCUCCAUCCUUCCAAAUAAAACACGUAUAUAAUUUUUUUUUUUUUUUUUGUAAUAUAGACAACACAAUUAUUUAAUCAAUUCAAUAGGUCUAUGAUAACACGUAAAAUGCACUAUUAUUUUAGCUCGACUUACACAUUUUUUUAUCUCGAUUUUAUAGAUUUUUGCAAUGUUAUGCUGGUAUUGUGUGUCUAUUUCAGGCAUUUGUCGGUUAAAGUUCUUUUUUUGAAUUUAAAUUUACUUCUAUUUUCAUGUAAAGAUUACCUCUACAUCUGUUUGAGCUGCUUCCAAUCUCCCAUCAAAGGGUUCAUGGUCUCCAACUACAGACUCUAAGGAGUUCAUCAAUGGAUCAGGCUGCAAUAGGAAGGCAAUGAUUCAUUGAAUUAAGAGUCAAAUACUGCAUAGUUUACAUAGAUUCUGCCAAAAUAACUAUAUAGAUAAUUACCGUGACCUCCUUUAAUGAUAAAAAUAUGCGGCCAAGAGCAGAGUUUAUCUGGUGAACUUUUGCCUCUACAGCCUGUACCAAACAGUAGAAAGAUAAACACAAAAGAAGUAAUAUAUAAAAACAUCAGAUUUCAUGGGUACUCAAUUGAUUCCAUCCAUAUUGAAAGCGCCAAGCCAGUAAUAGAUUGCAAAAUAAUGGAAGCAAACCAAAUAUAUUCUCCUGCACUUCAUUAAAGUCCAAUUUGUUUGUCCUUUUUUCUAAGCAAAAAUAUUUUUUAAAUGUGUUGAAGAGAAUUAUAACUAGGUAAAUUGCUAGAACUAGAAGAUAUGAAAAUGUCUUAUAAUAUCUCAGUAUUAUUUUAAAGUAUCUUAAAGUGUACCGUAUCUCAGUCCAAUCGAUACAAAUUUCUAGUGUGUAUCUAUUUUGGACAUGAACCUCAUGUUAAAUCCCGGUUCACAAUAAAGAAUCUUGAUUCAUUCCAUUGAGUUGCUACUUAAACUUAGUGUAGUCAGCCACUUCUUUUUGUCAACUUUGUAUAAUCAUCCACCUUUCUUUUGUCAUUUGAUUUAUGACUUGAAUCUUUAAUUAUGAUGAGGUUUGAAUAUGAUAUACUCCCUCUUGUCCAAAAUAUAAGCAAAAAUUUACAUGUAUUUGAUCUAAAUUGGACCAAAUACAUGUAGCUUUUUACUUAUAUUUGCGAUCAAACGGAGUAUCAGCUUACAGUUAAGCUAUGUCACUUGUUUUCUCUUAACAAUAUCAAAUUUUUAUUAGUAAUGUAUCUUACAAAUCAUAAUAAGACUGGACUCACGAUUCGGAAAACAAUUCUUAUGUUUCAUGAUUAAUGAAACAGUUCUUAUGAUUCACGAUAUGAAUCUCAAUUUGAUAACCAUUAUCUUAUGCGUUUUUUAAAAAUACGUGUUUACGAAAAAACUAUGUAAGUUCGUUAAAAGCAAAAACGUGUGAAGAAAAAACAGUUUCAAUUCUUUUCUCAUUAGCAAAAAAGUAAACAUAUUAACUUCUCCAAAAUAAAUAUAAAAUAUCUUAAAAUAAUUGUAUUGUGGAAUAACAUUUUUUGAAGUUUAAACAAGCAAACUUUAAUUUGUCACCCCGUCAAGAAGUAAUACCUGAUCAAUCUUAAAAUAAUUAGAUGGGUCCAACGUGGAAUCCCACGAUAUUUCUGAUUGAUGAAUUAGUGCAGAAACUCCUUCAACCUACAUUAACAACAGGUCAAUAUUUAGAAUUUUCUACCACCUCUCUGAACUUGAUUCCAUGAACGAAUAUCCAGGCACUAGCUAAAUACAGAGACUGUGGCACAAAAAUAGGCUAACCAAGGAACUUCUACUGGCUUAAAUGAUGCAAAGCUAAACAUGUUUGUAAAAGUGAACUCAAUUUACUGAAAUCAAAUGUUUUAUAUACCUCAACAAAAAUUCCAAAGUAAGUUAUCUUUUGGAUGCGGCAUUUCACAAUAUCACCAACUUGAAGUCUAGCCUGCCAUAAGAAGCACAACGAAUCUGAAUACCACUUUGUUGCAUUCAAUCUAAAACACCUGCCCUGGGCUAAUUCAAGAAUAGUUAUGUCACUAAAGCAUUUACCAUGAGAUUUCUCUUCUUUUCAGUUAGUUCUUCGUUCUCUUUUGCUUUUAGUGAAAAUAUGAGCCUUUUCAAUUUCCUGUCUGAUAGUAACACGUAUGCUUUGAUUUGCUGCAAAACAAAGUAUUGGCAUCUCAAUAUUAAGAAUGAUAAUAUUAAAGUUUCACCUUUUGCAGCAAAAAUAGAUAAAUUUAUUUGGGUUUUGUACUUGUGUUCUGAAUACCAAACCUGUCCAAUAAAUGAUGAUAAGAACUUGAUUUUCUCUUGGUCAUAAAUCUUUAACAGAUCUUCCAAUUUCAUAUCUGGUGAAAUUUUAUCUUCAAGUUUACCAUCAUUCUCCAUAUGUGAAGGUGAAUCAGCAGAAAAAUUACUAUUUUCAGCAUCAUAAUUUGUCACAGUGACCAAGUUUUGCUUGUACAUUGAUGGAUCCAAGCCCUUCUGUCUUACCCAUGACUCAAAAGCUAAAAAUUUCCACUUAGACAGAAGAUUUCGGUAUGGCAGAAAUCCUACCAAGGUACCAAAAGAAACCUGUAAAUGGUCAAUCCAGUUCAGAAGAUAAAUAAGACAGACUAAUUUUUAUCUAUAAAUGAAAGUCCCUUUUACUGAUUUUUAAGUACUUACAACGAAACCCUUGACAUUGCAGCUUACUACGUCCACAUCAACUCUAUCUCCAGUCUUAAUCAAAUCUUCUGCCUUGGUCCAAUCAGUAUCUUCGCCUUCCUACAAUAUCAAAAAACAAAAAGGUAAAUAAACAUGGAAUUUAGGAAAAUAGAUGCAUUGCUAAUGUCUCAUAUAGAUAUGUAAGUAACUAGGGUAAUCCACAAAAUCUGACCAGAAUAUCUAACACAUCAACAAGAUUUCCUGAUUCAUCACUGUUUCGACGACUUUCAGGAUCAAGGGAAGCAGUCUCUUCUCCAACUGAUUUUGAGGUUUGUUUCUCAUAUGGAUCUAAUCUAUAACAAAAUUACAUUUAGGUAAUGAAACAUAUUUGCAACCAUAAUCUGAAAUAUACAACUGUGAAAUUAUUAUCAUAUACCUUUUUGGCUUUCCUUGUAUUGCAGCUUCUACGGACAACUCCGUCUUAGAACCAACUGAAUUUAAAUCAGAUGGUUGAUUUAAAUCAAAUUGUUCCUGAUGGACCUCUGAUUGUCUCUGCUUCUGUUGCUCUGAUCCCUAAUUAAUCAAAGCAUGAAAUAAUUUAAAAACUAUGCUUCCGUUAUCAAAUUCCAUAAUUGCAACAAAGAUUGGCACCUACAUCAAUUGGGACCACGACUCUCACAUCUCCAAACUUCUCUUCUUCUACUUUGUCGCCUGCUCUUUGUGGCUGUUGCAACAAGGUUAAAUUUGUGACUUCAUCACUUGGCUCUCCAAACUGCUCUUCUUCUUCUUCUUCUUCUUUGGCACUUUGUCUCUGUGGCUGUCCCAACAAUGUCAAGUUUGCGACUUCCUCACUUGGCUCUUCAAACUGCUCUUCUUCUUUGUCACUUGCACUUUGUGGCUUUUCCAACAAGGUCGAAUUUGAGACUUCAUCACUUGGCUCUCCAAACUGCUCUUCUUCUUUGCUACUUGCUCUUUGUGGCUGUUCCAACAAGGUCAAUUUUGCGACUUCAUCACUUGGCUCAGCAAACUUCUCUAGUUCUUUAUUAGAACUUGGUCUGUGUGGCUGUUCCAACAAGGUCAACUUCUCGACUUCAUCACUCGGCUCUGCAAACUUCUCAAGUUCUUUAUUGCAACUUGGCCGGUGUGGCUGUUCUAACAAGGUCAAUUUACUAACUUCAUCACUUGGCUUUGCAGACUUCUCUACUUCUUUAUUGCAGCCUGGUCUGUGUGGUUGUUCCAACAAGGUCAAGUUACUAACUUCAUAACUUGGCUCUUCUUUCCGCGUCUUCAACUCACUUUCAACAUUUUUACCAAUUAACGAUCCAGGCUUUCUCAACAAUGUCAUGUCACUAAACUUCUCCUUCACUUGUCCACUCUGCAUUUUAAGAGAAAAAUUCGGUUUCAUUCUCAACCUCGAAGACAUGUCCACAUCUUCAUCCCCGUCUUUGUCCUCAUUAUACAGGGACGGCUUUCUCAAAAUAACAAUAGGAACAUUACUUUUUGUAACAUUCACCGGUUUCCUCAGGGCUUGAUUAGGUUUCUUAAUCUCCAUUUCAACAUUGUUAUCACUAUCAUCAGAAUUGGGUUUGGGUUUUGCCCAAGGUCUUUCAACUUCAAAUGGAAGUUCCUCAAUAUCCACAACUUUACCCUUUUUUCUUUUAUAAAAGGAUUUCUCAAUAUCAAGAUAAGAUGCAUCAGGGUUGGCCUUUCUUCCCAAUACCUAAAACAACAAUUAUAUUAUAAAGUUUUGAAACAUAAUCAUUUGAUUCAUUCCAAAAAAAUAAGUCUGUAAGGUUAGGUCAACUGGCAAUGCUUAUAUGCCGAUAUUAUUAGGCAGUAUAUCUUCAUGGGAUUCGAGCAGUUAUGUGUCUGAGUUUCAAAGUGAUGUUUAUCACUUCGUAUACAGAUAAAAACAAAAACAACAAAAUUGAAAAUUAAAAUAAUAUGCACCUUGGCAAGGGUGAGUUUAGGGUCUUCACCAAGUAAACGACCGAAUUUGAGUUCCAUGAGGUCGUAAUUAUCGAGUUGAGGGGUAUUUUUGUCUUCAUCGCGUGAAGAUGAGGCAAAAACCUUGUAGUUUUUUCUCUGGUUCAGAAAAACAGUUGUUGUUGUUGUUGUAGUUCUUCUUCUAGUAUUUGAUGAUGAUGAGAAGAAAGGAAAUUGAGUUGUAGUGAUGAAGAAUGAGGAUUUACUAGUUAGAGGAAGAGACCCCAUUUCGGUAUAUUAUUAUUAUUAUAACAACCACAAUUGCUAUCAUCAAUCAAACCAACUUCACUUUUCUAGUUGGAUGGAGAUACUCACAAAUACAAUCACAACACAGGGUUAUCUCGGUAGCAGUAGCACGUGGUGACGUGGUUUCUUGGCCUUUUAUUUUUUUAUUUUAUUUUAAAUAUAUCUUUCUUUCUUUCUUUUUUUUUAUAAAUAAAAUAAGUUGUGUAGUUAAUCAACUAAUCAUCCAAAUAUGAUUACAUUAAUGACAUGAUUAGCUUUAAGAUAGUUCUCUUGUUGGAGGAACGAUUAGAGGAAGAAGUUUUUUUUGUGGUUACAACUAUUUGGACACAUUAUCAUCUAACAUAUUUGAAGAAAACAAAGAUAGGAAUAGAAAAGAAUUAAAUAAUUGUUGUAAAUUUUUAAAAUAAUUAAAAGAUGGUAAAUGUUUUGUUGUAAUUCGUGCAUUGAAUUUGUAAGACACAAGUAUUAAGAGAAUAUUUCUAUUUUUAGGUUGCUUAACAAGUACUAUUAAGAGAAUAUAACGUGUAUCCUUAAAAAAUAUAUGUUUUGAUGUGUGUGCUUAAAUAUUGUGUCUAAAUCAUUGUGAUAAAACAAAGAAUGCAUCUUCAUCCCAAUUUAUGAUAGAAAGAUUGUCUUUCUAUUGAGUUAAAUAAAAAAGUGUUUACUCAGGAAAGGAAAGAGUAUAAUGUAAAUGACAACAAAUUAUGACUACAAUGUAUACUUAAUUUGAAGCAAAUAAGAUAUUGGAUCAUAUAAAGAAUAAAGUACAUAUGAAAAUGAGUGGGGCAUAGGUAGGCAUACAUCACAGACUUUGGCUUCUAAAACACAUCUACUACAUAACAUGCCCCCAAAGAACAUAACUUAUUUAUCAUCAUCUAAUGUUUGUUCAUUAACAAAUUAAUGAAUGAAAUAUGUGAUAGCAUAAUUGCAGGAUAACCCUCCCAAAUGAUAUAAUUCCACCAGAACCAACCACCCAAUCAAAAUGUGGGAUAUGUUUAAGGCAAAUCAACCAUAUAUUCUGAAAGAUAUCAUACAAAGAUGCAACCUUGUUGAGUUACUACUCCUUCAACUACUACACCUCUUGUGUAACAGCAGGAUCUUGUUCUUCCUUUGUCUCUGUCUCUGUGUCUGAUGCUGGUGCUGAUUCAGUUUUCUCUGCUGCAGCUUGUUGCAUUUCUUCAUUUUUCUUUAUUGAAGCUUGUUUAGAGAGAUAACUAUAGCUACCUUUUGCCUUAAACAACUGAGAAAAGUGUGGUUUGCAGUAGAUGAAUCCAUCAAGAGCAGCAUAGGAUGAAGGGCUGAGAAAACAUCCUCCAUGUGUACACCUAAAGCAUGACUUGUGGUAAAACUCACCUUCCACUGUCAACUGUCAUAAACAGAAUUUCACAAUUAAAGUAUCAGAAAUGUUUUUUAGACAUCAGAAUUUGACUCCAGACAUUGUGACAUUUUAUACGCUUGUCGAUUUUAUAUAAAAAAAAUUCCUCAUAAUCUAAACACACUGAAAACCGGUGUAUUAUAUACGGUAUCAGUAUAAGUUAUCGAAUUUUUGUGUCCAAAUCCAGCGUUGUUGGAGUAUAUAUAUGAUCAGAAAAAAGGGCCCACUGAAAUCAUGGUAUGGUCCAGCAGUGUUUGAUUAUAUAGUUCUAUUGUUUUAGUAGUACAAUAGUAUCUGAAAUUAACCCAAAUAUAUACCUUUUCCAAUGGAUAUACAGUUUUCUUGCAUGAUGAACAUUUAUCCUGAGUCCCUGAGAAGAAAGCAGAAAGUUUGCUUGGGGCCCUAGGCUGUAAACAUAUGAAAGAAAUUAUAUUAUAUUGUAAAUUGAAGACAUACUAGAAGAACAAUAUUCAAACAAAGUAAAUGAGUGUUGUAUCAAAAGUGAAUAGAAUACACACCAGUUCGCUGGGCUUUCCUGCUGUUUGAAAAUCAUGAAACAAAUUAAGAUUAAGUGAUUAUUUAGCCCCAAAAACAGCACAUAAAUUCCUAUUAUUAUAAUUUGGUAUAGACAAGUAUAUAAAAAAAAGGAUCUUAUUACCCGUCUGGGGUUUCUUGGCGGCGAAGGAAUCCUUGAAAAGCUGCUCAGCGUGAGUCUUGCAGUAUAAAACUCCUUCGAUUGAUUGAUAGUUACUCAUCUGCAAUGAAAAUUAAACCAUUUAUGUUAUUAUUAGUGAUUAUUUGUAUUUCGAUUUAUUUAUUUUUACAAGUAAAAGUUUAGGUGAGUUGAAUAUGUUGGCCUAGAAAAGUACUUAUAUUGUCACAAUCCCAUGUCGUUUAAGAUUAUGCAAGCUCCUUCUUAAGAAGAUCAUUGAGAGUAUAAAUUUAUAUACCAAAAAAAUUAAACAUGGAUAACUAUUUUUUGUCGACAUGCAAUUGAUUAUUUUUUGCUUAUACUUGUGUUUACAUAGUGUAGUCCCUAUCAUUUUGUGUUUCAUAAAAAAUAAAAUAAAAAAUACAUGUCUUUAGAUGCAAUUUGACCCAUCUUUGAUAUAUAUAAAACAUAAACGAGGGACCAUAUAGCAAAAACAAAUUGGUAAAACCAGAAAACAAAUUAAGGUACGUAUGUAUACAUACCGCGAGAAGGCCAUUGCAUUGAUUACAUCUGAAGCAGUUCUUGUGAAAAACAUUACCAUCAGCAGAUAAUGUAUCAACCAAGUGAACAGUUUUAUCACAAACCUUGCAUUUCUGUUGGGUUCCAGUGAAAGACAUGGUUAUCAAUUUGUUUAAUAAACUUCCCCUCUAUCUCGUACUAGCUGAUUAUUGUUUCUGUUGGAAUUAUUGAAAGCUAGCACAGAAAAUGGUGAGGGUUCGGCUAAAACACCAAAGAUAUUGAGCUAUAUAUGGUUCAAAUAACAUAACUAUAAUAUUGUGACCCUUUGAAGUUGCUGUGGUGUGCGAAAUUAUAGGUCUAGAAAAAGAAAAAAGGAUGUGAAAUGGGUGGAGAAGGUGUGCACACCUAUAAUUUUGCAAGCUUCACUGCCUUCAGAUUUUGCAUGGACACAAAUAUAUCAUUGUCUAAUUGUAGCUCUCCGAGUCUAAAGGACACAUGAGACACAAAGCUAACUCUUUGACCAGGUAAUUUUACCCAAUGAUAUGCAUGAUGCAUGAGCUUAUUUAGUUUGCUUAAUUGGAUAGUUUGUGAAUAUGCUUGUAUAUCUAUGUUUGGCAAAUUAGUAGUGAAAAAUAGUCCCUAAACUUGCUUUCAUUAAUUCCUAGCACAAAUUAGCAAAAUAUGUUUCAACAAUACCUCGAAGAAACAUCUAAGAUUACCACAAUCACAUGUUUUCCUCCACAUAAAUUGAUUUAUCUACAUUUGCGAAAUUCAAACACUAUUAUAACAUUAUAUUUUGCUAAACUAAAUGCAAGGCCAAACCAACCAUGAGCCGUCAAAUCCUAAAUGUUAGAAGAAUAUUGUUUAUUUUUGUUUCAAGCAUCAAAUUUUAAACCUCACUCACGUCCCCUACAAAAAAAAAAAAUAGUACUAUCAAUCAUAAGUAAUAAGGCUUUGGAUAAAUCACCACCUUAGUCUAGCACAAGUUGUUGAGUAAGGACAUUAAAUAUAGAGGAUCCUAACUCCAAGUUGUUAGUGUGCAAUGUGUGAAUGUUAUGAAUUCCAAAGUUACUAGUUUGAUUUCUAAUAAUAAUAAAAAAAUAUGUUGGAUAAAUCAAAAUAUUUCCACGUGUAUCUGCAAAAGGUCAAAAAAGCAGGAUGUGAUACAAAACAUCAUGAUAUAAUGCCAUAUGAAAAUAAGGAGGUAUAACUCAAUAACAAAAUCCAAAAUAAUUCUAAACUUUUAUUACAAGAUGAAUAGUAGAUUUAAUCUCUUGAGUAUAUGAACUUCAUUAAGUACUUUAUUUCAAUUAAUUCAAACUAUCGUAGUAUUUGUAACCCACUUGAGCCUUUAAAAGAAGGGAGAUCUAUGAGGUAUUCCCUUUCUUUUCCUUUUUCCCAAAGAAGGUCCAGAAGUUCCCUCCUGUGUUUCCUGAUGCUGAGGAGGACCCUGGAUUGAAGGUCCUGAGGAGGACUCAAGUGGUGUUGUGCUAACUGGAUCCUCAGACUCUGACUUUUUUGAAACUGCUUCAACCUGGUGAAAAUUCAGAUAAAAAAGAUCAAACAAUACUAUUCAUAUAUCGAAUGUGCGAUGAAAGAGGAAAAUAAGAGGUUGUGAUUUUCAAAUUAUAGUCAUCACCUUGCAAGAAAGGGCGCAGUAGCGAUAUAAAUCAGGUUCAUUCAACUUUUUGUUGCAAACUUCACAGGAGUCUUCAGCAUUUGAUGCUAUCUCACUGAACUGGCGAGGCUUCAAAGAAAUAACCACUUUCCUGUUGCUUUUGUAAGUCUACGUCCAAAGAGGAAUCAAAACCAACACGUGGUAAAAAAAAAUUGGUUCUCAGUUGAAUUAUCUCACAAGUCUAUAUCUAACUGUGUCAUAAAUUUUGAUGAACAAAUUUAUUGAAUCAGAGUUAUUUGUAAUUACUAGGGUGUGUUUGAUUUGCUAAAGAACAAGGGACUGGAUUUUUUUUUUAAGAGAACAGGGGACUGGAUUUGACAACAUUUCUUGUACCCUGUUUGAUUUAGAAACUGAUCAUAGCACUGGACAAAACAGAGGGGAAGCGACUGGACAAAAACAUGAAUUUUUGUCCCUCGCUAACCAUGGGACAACUUGUCCAGGCAGGGGUACUGACUAUCCAAAAAACCCUUUUCAUUUUUCAAACAUAAAAAAUGUUAUUUCUCUAUCUCUAUCCAGUACUGCUCUGUCUUCUUCUGUACUGUCAUGCACUGUUCUGUCAGUAAUUGUUGUUUUGCAAAUCAAACACACCCUUAAGCUAGUAAAGUCGUUCUAUGAAAGAGAAUCUCCCAACAAUAUGAAGGAAAAAUAGUGCAUUUAAAUCAAUUUGAUGCAUUUCACAAGCACAAUGAUCUCUUACAACUUGCUACGUGAAUUUAAGCAACUAUGAUUAGCAAAAGAAAUUCAUCAAAAGUGCAUAAACUUGCUGUGUUUCACAUAGUAAAAUUUAAAGUUAAGCUAUUAAUCAUACCUGAACUUCUGAGCAAUCAAAAUAUUUUUCCAUAGCACUCAGAGCAACAACAUCCUUGUAAAUAUGUCUAUAUAUUUUCAGUAUUUUGUGGUGGCGAUGAACACCAGAUGAUAUACAAUAUUGGCAGCAUACCAUAUUGCAAUCUGUACAAUACUUUUUCAGCUCAUUCCUACGAAUUUGAUGAGUAGAACAUGAGCCAAAAUAAUUUUCUCUCAAAAGAGCCUCAAGCCAAAUUGGUUUUUCAACAUUACUUUGGGUUGCCUCCUGCAAAUUAAACCAUGUCAGUAAAAUUUAUAUUGAAAGUUACAGAAAAUGAAAAUAAAUGUUCAUCUUGUUCUCUCUUAGCUAAUUACUUUUUAAAUAUUUAAUUUUUUAUUUUCAUUUUCUCAAGUAUUCAUGCAUAUAUGUUAAUUAGCAUACAUUGGAAAAGAAUGUCAUACAUUUUGAUACAUCAUUGUGUUCAAAAUAUAUUGUAUGUUUAAUAUGGGUGCCUCCUUAACUCAUGUCACCAUUAAAACAACAAAAAAACCAGUAUUUAAUUGUGAGCCAAACACAAAUAAAUAUAAUUUAUACACAAACCAAAAUUGAUACUUCCAUAUUGCUACAUGUUUCUUCAAUUGAUAUAAGCUCGUGAGAUCUUGAAUUAUAUUAAUAUGCCGAAAUUCCAGGUGAUUUCCUGUUGAACUUGAGAAUUACUACAACUAGAGGAUUAACUAAGCUAAAAGGGCUAUUUUGAAAAUAAAUUAUGCCAGCUUAUUUCGAUCAUGAUUUAUAAUGAAUUGGUUGGAAUGAGAUAUUAAUCAAUCAGAACUAGUGUGACAACAAGCUCUAAGAUUUUCAAAGAUAAACAUGGUAGAAACAUCUUAUUAAUGGAGCAGAUAUUCCAUGUAAAAAUAUGUAGAUCAUCCAAUAUUGCGAAGAAAUCUGGAAGAUAAAGAUGCGUAAUUGCAAAAUCAUUUCGAUUUAUGCCUAAUAAAGUACUUCGUAUUCAAAUGAAACAACACACACACACACACACAUGUUGUAAUCAAAAUUUAAGAGCUUAUCUAUAUCAAAAGAACAGCUUAUCGCAAAAAAUUGCAAUAUUUUUUGAGAAAAUGAAAAAAGAGUCACAGAGACCAAGGAGUUUUAAUUGAAUAUUGCACCAUUUAACACAGAGGAAGUACACGAGCAAAAAAUUAUGACCACAUACCAUGCUCAUUUUUGUAGAAGAAGCAGCACCCGUCGUUAUCCUCUUAUACAGAUUAAAAUUUAAAAAUAGGUUUAAUAUUUGAGAACGAAAAGAUGCUCGAUGAAGAAUUCAGAUUUCAAUCGCGAUCGAAUCUGACUAAACGGCCAAGCAGUAGAGGAAAAGGAGAGAAAGAAUAACCCUAGGCAGCCAUUUUGAUACGAGGCUCAGUUUCUGGACAAGAAUGAGUUCAUAUACUAAGUGCAAAAAAGGAAAACCAAAUUUGGUAAAGUCUACGUUGCUAGUCUCAACAUCAAAAAACAAAAUGUCAUAAGCAGAGUUUUGAUACCGGCCUCACUUUUUGAUUAUGAAAAAGUUCAUAUACUUGUACAUAGGGUUGUACACAAUGAAAAAUAAAUUUUGUAAAGACUAAAUGGAUGAAAUUGAUCAAACUAUUCUUCUUAACUUCUUUUUCAUAUUCACAAGUUUCUAGUCUCAAUUUCAUAAAAACAAAUGCCAAUGGAAGAGUUAUGUUUCAUCAUUAAGAUCAUAGUUACUAUCCUUCCAUAGAAUGAUAUAUUAUGAAAUCUAGAAAGAACCAUUGCAAAUUUCUCAACAAAUGGCCAACAGAAACAAUCUUUAUAUUUUUCAUAAUAUAUAGGAUCACAAGGCUGAGUGCAACAAGGCCAUUAGCACCGGGACUCAAAGUUAGGGGAUCUCAAAUUUGGGUUAAUAUGUUACGGGCCCAAUCCACACAUCUACUCCCUCUCUUCUCAUGCGAGGAAAAUAGCAAGCAAAACGAAAAAAGUAGGACGACUCUUUUAAAGUAGCUAGAAGAUUGAUAUGAACUUGAAGUUGUAUUUUGAUAUUAUUUAUUAAGGCAUUGCUCUUUUUGAGCUUUUGGCGUUUCUUUUUAUAAGAGACCCAUUUUUUAAGACUAGAACAGGGUCUCUAAAUUGUUUGAGAUUACCCUGAAGCAAACACAUUGAGCUUAAAAUUUAGCAUUAAAGGAUGCAAUAGGUUUUCUGUAAAACGCCAUUACAAUCCCAAGACUUGGUAUACAAAUUUUACAUUUUUCGGAAGACCCUAAUUUACAAUAAACCUACAUUGAAUUCUUCGUUAAACCUAGAAAUAAUAUCCAUGGAAAUUUGCAUCGAUUAUAGAUUAAUUCAAACAAUAAUAUCAAUGAUCAUGUUUUAGUUAUUGUUCAAAAUCUAACUAACGAAAUUGGAUUCCGCUAAAAUGAAUUGAAGCAAAUAUACAAAAGAUUAUGAGUGAAAUUUUACCUUGGAAACAGAAAUCCAUGAGAAAAGGAGAGUGAGCUUUGUUGAGAAACGUCAUUGCACUGAAGAAGAAGAAGAAGAAGAAGAAGAAGAAACGAUGCGACUAUCUCAUACAUAGCAGGUGAAGUGCGAGUGGGUUCGAAGAUCGUAGUUGACUGUAAUUCAUUUUUUCAGUGUGGAGACAAAAAAAAAAAAGGACAUGAGACCCACUUUUGGUUGCUUACAAGUUACAAUAAUUUAUUUAUUUUUAUAUAAAAAUAAAACUGAAAAAUUAAGGCAAUGACUGUUAACAAGAGAGAAACCAACAUUAUGACAUUUAAGCGUUAGGGCAUCAACACAAGAGUUUGCUUUGUGAUUAACCUAGACGUUCCAAUCUCAUGAAGAAAAGGUUGAAGAUGAAUGGUAGAAGUAAAUUGAUUUUGUAUGAUUGAAUUAACUUUUAGGAUGACAUGAGUAUUUCUCUAGUCAUUUGACAACCAAAUAAAAUACAAUAACUUACAAGGCAAGACCAUGGUCAUCUUUAUGUGGGAGCCAUCCACGUUGAUUUUAACAAAUCGGGAAGAAGGUUUAUCCAUUGACUAUUGUGGCUAGUUAUAUUCUCAUCCCGAGAUACAAGAGGGAAAAUUAUCUCCUUCUCGAUCUAAGAAUCCAUAUUAACCACCUUGGAAGUAAUGUAGCUACAAAGUUCAAUCUCUCUAGAGAAUACUAAGUUAUUAUGGUCUUUCUAGAGAGCUCUGACCGACACAACAAAGAAGAUAGAUCAAUUGGUGUUGCUAGCUCCAAUGUUCUUUGUCAUGAUGUUACAUUCAAGCCAUGGUUAAAAAAUUUAGCCAAUUGUCGUACGUGAUGAAGUGAUUCUAAUACUGUUGAACAUCCUCAAGACCUAGAAGCAUAUACAUGAUGUUUUCAGGUUGAGACCGACACCUAGGGCACAAGUCACCGUUUGUUAUUCGGAGGCGAGCUCUUGUUGCAUUUGUAAGCAAUAAUCCAUGAGCUAACUUCCAGAUAAGAUUAUACAAACUACUGAUAAGAUUGUAAGUUGUUUUUAAACUAACAUUUUCGUCAUUACAAAGAUCUCAAUUAGGGAUAUCACUACCUCAAGUGAUUAAAGCGUUCAACUUAAAAAUUAAGUUGCAUAUAGAAUCAACAAGUCAAUUAGCAAUCAUAUCUCAGUUGAAAUUCUCAUUUAUCGCAUAAUUUGACAUAGAGUACUUGAUUUCUCCAGGAGGGACGAAAUCCUUGUAAUGUUGUUAAAGUUAGUGUUUGAAUACAUUUGUGUAAAAUUGAAUUGAAUUAUAAAUUUGUGUGUGAAAAUCAAUUAUAGAAUAAAAAAAUAUUAAUUUUGACUCCAAGUAGAAUCAAUUUUGUGGCAAAAUCAAUUUUACUUGAAAACACAACCAAAUAUGUUUGAAUUAAUUUUAUAACUCCAUAAUCAAUUUUGACAACUCUAAAAGUAUAACCAAACAUACACCAAAUUAAAGGAGACACACUCUUGUGUAAGGUCAGGUCAGAGAUGAUUCUACUUUUGUGAGGAGAAAGUUCAAUAUCUUUCAACCUUAGUUAAUUUUCCAAUUUAUCAUUAAAAAUUAAACAUAUAAACGAAGUUUCAUUUGUUUUCAAAUGCAAAUUUCAUUGUCCAUCUUUUAUUACCAACAACUAUUUAGGAAAAAAACGAUACAAGAAGCAAAAUUUAAAUUAAAUGUAUAACCAAAACAAGCAAGCUAAUGAAAGUUUUUCUCUUGCAUAUUUCUAACUGAAAAACCUUAAACCGCUGAAACAUCCAAGAAGUCUUCUUGGCUGAUAGCCACGAGUACGAAACUUUGCAGCUGUCUCCUCUACCUUGAGGAUUUCUUCCCCUUUUUGAGCUUCUAUCAUUGCCUUUUUCUCUUCUGCUGAUUUAUGAAUUUCACCUAUUUUGUUUUGCAUUACUUCAACAUAUUCACUCUUCUUUCUGUCCAAUUUUACCUGUGAUUAAUUUAUACAAACUUUCAUUUAAAAUUUGGUUCAUAUAACUAUUAUUGAAAGAAGAAAAAAUCAAUCAAAUUGAUGCAAAAAUUGAGCACAUCUGACCUCAAUUCCUUUGAAUUUUGCUUCAAUUGAUGCUUUCUUAUCAUCCUCCCACAAAUCAACAGCAGAUUGCAUCUUAUAUGCCCUAAUUGACAUUAAUUAUCAUAAGAAUAAGAAGAUAUCAUUCACCUAGUCAUUAUAGAAAAUUGAAUUGGAUAUUAUUAAAUUAAUGUCUAAUAUUGAUAUUCGAAAGCUUUUAUAUCUUCCUUUUCUAGCACCUUACCUAUUCUCUACUUUUGUCUUCUCAUUUUCUUCCCAUGCUUUAAUUAAAGCCAAUCUUUUCUGCGAUUCAACCCUUGCUAGUACAGCAUCUAAAGGAACUAAAAAUUGAGUUAAUCAUCUCUCAAAACAAUUUAAAUGAUUAAAUAUAAAAGGGUUAAUAGGUAUUUACCCUUGUAAUAUAGGUCAUUUUUGGUUUUCCCCUAUAAAAUUUUUAUUUUUAUUCACCCUGUAAAAUAUUUUUAUUUUGAUAUACCACCUUAAUAGGCUAAACAAAAACGAAAAUUUCUUGAAAAAAAAAUAAAAUUGGUUUUUGUUUGGCCUAUCAGGGGUAAAUCAAAACAAAAUUAUUUUACACGGGUGAAUAAAAAUAAAAAUUUUACAGGAAGGAAAACCAAAAAUGACAUAUAUUACAGAGUAUAAAUAUCUAUUAACCCAAUAUAAAAAAUAAUAAAAAGGGAAAAUAACCUCGGUCAACUGAGUCCUUUGUAUCUGUUCCAGCAGCAGUAGCUGCAAAACAUCAAUAAGGAACAUUGGUAACAAAAAAAACAAGAACACAUGACGGGUUGAAUUAAUAUAUAAGUUUAGCUUGUCCCCAUAAUUUUACUAAAUUUUCUAUAUCUUGCUGAUUUUGUGUUUAAUGAAUUACAUACUUAAUUUUGUUUCUGAAAAAAGAUAUAUAGUACCAUGAAAAGAAACUUGUGCAGUUCAUCCAAAUAUGAUCCAUAUAAUUUUUUGCAUUGAUAAAUAAUUAAAGUUCAAAGAUUCAAAGGUUCUUCCACUUUAUAGAGAGAAUUAAAUAUACGCAUGAAACGUUCGGUAAAAAAAAAUGCAUGAAACGGACGUCUUUAGAAAUAAUAAUUAGAUUUCUCUCAAAAAAAAAGAAAUAAUAAUUAGACAAAUCCUAAGUAUCAAGUAAAAUAAUAAAAGCAAACCAAUGCUUUAAACAAAAUACACCAAAAUAAAUUCAUACAUCUUACACAAUCAGUCUAAUAACUAAGUAAAAUCUUUAUCAACUUGAAAGGAGAAAAAGAAAAAAAAAAACUUUCCCAUCCGAAAAAGUGGAAUUUGAUACACAACUCUACAAAAUAAUUAGCAAGAUUAUUUAGGAUUGUUUUUGUCAAUUUCAUAGGCUAAUCUGACAUCAUCAUACAACUUCAUGAAUCAAAAUAAGGUUUCACUCCAUAAAAAUGUAUAUUUUGGGGUUUUUCUUAGAGGACAUGUAUAUAUUGGGUUGAAAUUUUGCUUUGCUUUAUCUUAAAUUAAAUAGUAAAGAUAAAUGUUCUUAUAUUAAUAUAUUUAACAACCAAUGCGAUCGAUAAGACGAAAAUUGGAUUAAUUGAAAAUUAGAGAAAUAUAGAUAUUUUUUAGAUAUCAACUAACUAGAAAGAAAGAAAUAAAAUGAAUAUGGUAAAAAUGGCGAUCAACGGUCAAUAUUUAGAAGCAAAUUAAGCAAAAGGAUGAAUAAGGAUAUGAAUAUGAUGAAUGCAAUUAUGAGAUUCAACUAUUGUCAUUUUGAUUUUGUCAUUUAAAAAAAAAAAACGUAUAUGAUGAAUGUAAUUGUUGUGAUAUGUGUAAUACAUACUUUGAUCAACUGAAGAAGUAGCAUGAUCACUCACGACACGCUCUUGUUUAACAACACUGCUUGAAGUUCCUUCGUUCCCCGGUUCCUUUUCUUCAAGGAAGUAGGAAAACUCUCGAGGUUCAGAUUCAGAUUGAGGUAGUGGAGUUAGGGUGUCAACUAACUCUAAUUGUUUGUUUUUCGAUUCUUCCAUAAUGUAUUUCUAGGGUUACAGCAUUAGAAUUUCUAUUAAACUUAGAAUAUGUUUGUGAUCACACUUAAAUAGAGAUGAAAUUGUUGUUUUUGCUUACAGCAAGCCAAGCUGUUUGGUCACCACUCCAAUGGCCUCAAAGGUUUAUGUAAGAGACAUUGUGAAGACUCAAACGGGGUCCACUAAUAGACAGUUAUGCGGAUAUUCACUGCUUUGUCUUUUAUUAAUUAUUUCAAAUAUUUUUACCAUAUAUUUUCUAUACUUGGGGUUCAUUUCACAACUUACAUUUUACACUGCUUGUAUGCCAACCAAAGUAAGGUAUUCAGUUCCAUUGAGAUGUUGGUCACGAAAUGAAAUAAUUUUUUUUAAGGUAUUCAUUUUACACAACUUACAUUUUUUAAUUUUUUUUUUUUUUGGUAGAUAGACGAAAUGGCAAAGCCAUUAUAAACUCACACACACAAGUGAAGGUACCGGGGUUCGAACCCCGAUCAUGGCAUCCGGCCUAACAAUUUCGGAAACCAAAAUAGAGGUGAUCUAAAUCUAAGCAAGGCGUUUGAAGUUUUGGCUAAGACUUAUGAAAAUGUCAUUCAAAAUAAAAAUUGGUCAAGAAUAUCAUUCAAUUUAACCCCUUAUAUAAACUAACGUAAUUUAAAAUUAGAAUUUUAUAUUGAUUUAAAAUUAUGAAAUUUAGAUUUGAUUUAAUUUAGUUCAAUCUUUAUCGUAUAAUAUAAAUUCUAUUUGAAUCAUUUUUUAAGUUUAUUAAUUUAAUAGCCUCAAAAAAAAGUUUAUUAGUUUAAUAUUUAAAACAUUGUAAAAUACUUCUUUUAUUUUAGGGAUUGUAAGAUACUUCUAAAAAAAAGAACAUUAUAAAAUAAAGGAGAUGUGUUCCUAAAUGUAUAAAUUAAGAUUGAAAACUAAAAUUAACAAUGAUGAAGAUGAUUAUUUUUUCAAGAGAAUAUUGAUGUUUAUUCUUUGAAAAUACUAGGUUUUUUUUAAUAAAAAAACCAUCACUUUCUUUUAAAAUAGGGUAAAUUGUUAUUCCCUCCGUCUUGUCCUUUCUUUGGUGUUAAGGAGGGCCAAAGUUCCUCUUCCCCUUUAUUUAAAAUUUACACUCUUCUCACUUGAGAUAUUGAAGGAGUAGCGUAUAAUUUUUUUAACAUAAGCUACUAUAUUCUCUUAUUGAUGGAGUAGUUUAUUUAAGAUGAACACGUACUCCCUCUCUCCCAAGUAAUAAGGAAAAAAAACAAUUCACAUUUAUUAAAAAAACUAAAAUAUAACAAUUUGGAGUAUAAUUUUGUGUGUUUUUCUAAGAAUAAGUUUUAACAGAAGAUGUAAAAAUAAUUUUUAUUGGUUAUGGAGAAAAUGGAAGGGAAAACAAAUUUAAUUCAAUUUCAUGUGAAUAAGAAAAGUUUUUUUAUUUGGAAAAAAUGAGUUUUUGAAACAACGUGAUUAAAUAGGGUAAAAGUUAAUCUUUUUUACUUAUAAUUUAGGAUAAAAAAUGACUUUUUUUUGCUCAAAACAAGUGACGGGGGAGUAUAUUUGAGAUAAAUUAGAUAAUGAUACAAUGAAUAAAAUAGUGGUAGUUAACGAAUUUAUAAUACCAAUUGGCCAAUUGUAAAUGGUGUUAAAUCUUUGAGGAAUAAUCUUUCCAUGGUUCUAUUCAAUUUAAGAGAUUAAUCUCUACGGUUAUACAUAAAAAAUAGGGUUAAUAAUGUUUUUCACCCCUGUAAUAUAUGUCAUUUUCGAUUUUCGCCUCUAUAAAGUUUUUGGUUUGAUUUGCACCCUUGUAAAAAAAAAAUCCAGAAAACAUCCCUAGUAGGUCAUUUUCAGUUUUUUUUUUUCAAGAAAUUUUGGCUUUUGAAUGGCCUAUUAAGGGUGUUUUCUAGAAAAUAAAAAUUUUACGAGGGUGCAAAUCAAACUGAAAAUUUUAUAGGGCGAAAACUGGAAAUGACAUAUAUUACAGAGGUGAAAAGCACUAUUAACCCUAAAAAAUAUCACAUUCACACUAAAAAUGUGAUCAAUUGCAAGGCAUCGCUUUGUCCAAGUGAAUAGCUUUGGAUAAACCUAAUUAUAAUGGAUAAAAUAUUUACUUUUAAUUUUUUUAACAAAUUAAUGAAUAAAAAAAUUUGAUACCUUGUAUAAGUAUGUAGCACUCAUUUUAUUAUUUUUAUUGAAUAAUAAUAAUAGAUGAAUGAUAAGGUGUUAACCCUGGCUCUCAAAGAAGAGCCGUUGAGUUUUGAAUAUGAUUAUAGGAUUGAUUCGUUAGUUGAUUGAAUUGGAUCAUAGACUACUCUCUUAUCACUAAAGAAUAUAAUUUCAUUUAAAAAAUUCUAAAGACUAUUCAUCUAUACAUUAUACACCUCCACACACUUUGAUGCCGUUAGAACUCGGGAUAAGUAUAGUUUUACUUAAAAAAAUAGUUUGUAAGAUGAUGAGUGUUUCGUUUAUAAAUACAUGGUCAAACCAUUUCUUAUCUAAAGUGAAACUUUUAACGCACCUCUCACGUUUAGGAAUGGGCAUAUGCUGCAUGACAUGGGUGGUUUGAUAACGGUGACUUUACCGUAACCGAUGCAACAUGUCUUAAAUAAGUUUUAACGGCAUAUUACCAUUUAAGACGAGUCUAAGUCAACAUCACAAAACCGUCUUAUAAGAUGAGAGAUACUACCACAUAUAAAUACAUUAUCAAAUUAUAUCUCAUCAAAUUUAAAAGUUUUAACCAUUGCUUCACUUUACAGGCUUAUAACUUUUGGACGAUUGGAAAUAAUAAACUGAAUGCAUCCCCUCCCCCACUUCAAACAACAAAACAAUGAUCAUGCCAUGUAAAUUUCAAUAUAAAAUGUUAUAGACAAAUUACAUCUUACGUUGAAAUUUUUACUGUUAGAUUAUUUUCAUAUUUUUAUCAUAUAGUAUUUUGAUACCAAUUAAUCGAUGGUUUUUUUUUUUGGUGAAGGAAGUUAUUUAAUUAAAAAUUAUUAUUUUUUGUUCAAAGAUAAGAUGUCAAACUCUGGCGUGUUAGAGGGACAUUACGUAAUAUGCUGAACAUGGACCACUUGACAUCUAGUCAAUUUCGUGGUCGAUUUGCACGUAUUUGUGUGAAAAGGGAUCUUGAUAAGAAAAUCAUUUUAAAGUUCAUUGUGAAUGUUUUAGGUUUUGUUUUUACUAUUGAACAUGAAGGAUUACAUACAUAUUGCGUGUUUUAGUUGUGGCAUUGUGGAAAAUAUGGCCACAAUGCGGAAACUUGCCAAGACCACUACGUGAAGAAGAUUGUGUUCACCAUAAGAAAUGCUAGUUUAUCUACGGUUUAUGUUUCGAAAGUGUAACAACCAAUAAACCUAAAUUCUACAAAGAAGAACCCUUUGGCUCAUGAGGGAACUUCACAUGCAAAGGAGGAAGAUAUUCCAUCAUAUUUUAGUCCCUCGAUGUUGGUCAAAAUACAUAAUAUGCAUAAGCAAUUGAGUAGUGCAGCUCAACCGAAAUUUUCGGAGAAAAUAAAAAUAAAAAGGCUUAUUGAUGUGUUUAGCCCUUGCAAUUAGGCGGCAUUUAAAAAUUCGUUCCUGUAAUUGUUAAUCCUGGCAUUUUAACCCUGCAAUUGUUAAUCGUUUAAAAUUUGGUCCUUGGACCAAAUUAAUCACUGCCACGUCACUAAUUUGAUGACGUGGCAAUCACUGUCACACAUGAAAUUACAAUUUUGCCCUUAAGAAGAGGACAAAAUAUUGAAGAAAGAAUUGGAAACCCAGGGGUAAAUUUGGAAUUUCAUGUGGCGUGGCAGUGAUUAAGUGGGGAGAGGGACGAAAUUUUAAAUGAUUAACAAUUGCAGGGUUAAAAUGUCAGGAUUAGCAAUUACAGGGACGAAUUUUUAAAUGCCGCCUAAUUGCAAGGGUUAAACACAUCAAUAAGCCAAAUAAAAAUCAUGAAUAUACUAAAGGUAAAAAGCAUGAGGUAGAAACAAAUGAAUAUAUUGAUAUUGGUGUAGUCGUUAUAUAGAUAAAGAUAAUAGGAGUUGUGAUUCGUGUGUUGCAUAAAAAAAUCAUCAGAUGAGGGGCCCACAUCAAAGCUUGAUGGGUUUAAAGUGAAUGAAACAUCACAUUAAUAUAUAAUUUUUAAUUUUAUUUUAUAGUGCAU
rnacentral:lncRNA from 1 species